rnacentral:lncRNA from 1 species
UCUACUUACCCGCCAUGUGCAAGGUCUAUUCUUUACAAUAGAUCAUCGAGCAUGGGCUCUUCCCUAGAUUGACUCUGCCAUGAUAAAAAUUAUCCCCAUGCCCUCAGCACAAACUCGGCAGCUCGUGUUUCGGAGAAGAGUGAGUUAACAACACGGAGAGUCUUGCUAAUGUGUGGCGCAUUGGUGUGUUGGGUCAGGUUGGAUCCGUGAGCCGCACCAACUUCUCCGGCGCGGGUUCCUCGGGUUACUACGAUGGGCGCUACUGGACCAUGUGGAAGCUGCCCAUGUUCGGGUGCACCGACUCUUCGCAGGUGCUGAGGGAGAUCCAGGAGUGCAAGUCGCAGUUCCCCAGCUGCUGGGUCCGCGUCUUGGGCUUCGACAGCAAGAAGCAGGUCCAGAUCUGCGGGUUCUUGGUCUCCAGGCCCAACUAGAUUAAUUGGCCGGUGGCCUAGGUAGCACUUGGUUCUUUUCAGUAGCGACAAGGUAGUCGUGUUUAUGUCUAACUAGUCGCAAUGUUGAGGAGGCUUGUACAGCGACUUGUUUAAUCCAAAGAAUCCCAGGGGCAACAUCUUGACAUCACAUGCUUCUGCAACCACGAAUGCUGUCAGUCAGUCUGUUAGCCACGCGACUUAGGAAGAGUUGGAUGUAUCGUUCAAGCGAUCUGUAGAUUGCGGAAACCCGAGUGGCACCAAAGCCUGGGGCUGCUGCUGUAGCAAAGCAGCGAUGCCCUAUUUCGUCACAACACUCUUCACACAACUCACACGACACAAACUGUGAAGUGAGCUUUGAGUUAUCCCUGCACAGAACACUUGCCAAAAGCAUUGGUACAGCAGCUCUAUGCGUAAACAGUGUGACGAUUUAUUUACGGUGACUGUCAUGACUCGAUCGCAGAGGAUGGUUGUAUACCGCUUCUGGUCAGCACUCCGUAGCAACUCCAUAUCAGCAUCUAGGUCCGUAUGGAGCAGCGCAUGAGAAGCUCAUGAGAAACUGUGUCGCAGCGUGUUCAUUGUCUUCACAAAUCAACAAAUCAGAAGUGCAAGAACUGAAAUUGGAGAAAGUAUCCAGCGAACCCACGUUUAUCCCAUUCGCAGAACUCGUACAGUCCAGUGACAAGACCCCCAACAACAAAUGCCACAAACAACGUCUAUGGUAAACUUCGAAGACCGUGGUCGCUCCAAAGCGGGGACUGACUGCCUGUUCUUCAGGAGGUUGUCUGCUUCGACUUGUCUCCCCGUGGUUUUGUACACAACGGUUAUUUCAAAGUUGUAGAGGUGAUGAAUUUGCAACAGGAGGAGCCAGUUUCUACCUGCAUUGUGAAUCAAUUAUCUAGAGUGAGAGUCUUGCUCCCUCCCUCUUCCUGGUAUUAUUUUCUGUUAAGUAACUCAAUGUUGACAAACGGCUCCAAUUGGAAGAAGCAGGUCUAAAUUUGCGGGUUCUUGGUCUCCUAGCGCAUCUAGAUUUAUUUGCCAGCUCAUGAAUGGUGGCUUGGGUAGCAGUUGGUUCUUUUUAGUAGCGACUAGAUAGUCGUUUUUAUAUCUAAUUAGUCGCAGUGUUUAGGAGGCUUGUGCAGCGAAUUGUUUAAUCCCAGUGAUCCCACGGGCAUCAUUAUGAUAUCUUCAUAUACUUCUGCAUCCACGAAUGUUCUCAGUCAGUUUGUUAGCCACUCUACUUAGGAAGUGGUCGUAUCGUUCAAGCGACCGGUAAAUUAUGGGAGCCAGGAGGUUUCCUCCAACACAUAGCAGACAACAGAAGAUCCAACAGUUGAUUAUCUUUUCUUUGCUUCGCUUUCGUCUAUCACCUUUCAAUUGACCACUGUGCGACGAUGUAGAAUUACACAAGUUGCACUCGAUUUUCCCACUGUUAGGUUUCGAUGCAGCUGAAAUUCUCUGAUUCGUGACUGUACAUCUGCAUUUGACAGGUCCAAGUUAAUUUUCUAAGCUUUAAUGACAGUUAGCAAUUGAUAAUUGUUCAAUUCCGAUGUCUUACAUUUUGCACCACUCACGACUUAUCUGACACUGUCUGGCUCACAUUUCAGUGUCAACUAGACGCAUUUCUAGCAACCGUUCAAAUUCACUAAGAACACCAACUCUUCACGAAAAAGACACCUCCACAAUUUACGCAACCGCCCGCGCAAAUUGUGGAGGUGUCUAGCUUGUUGCUUGCCCAUGAAUAGAUCCGCCCGCCCGCGCACCCGCCUGCCCGAGGUGAGGCUAGGUAAACGCCUGAGCGAACCAGCUUAGAGCUGCAGCCUGCGUUUUCUGAAUCCUGGCAAACCAUCGCGUCGUCGAUGUCCAAUGGCACUUCGCAAAUACCUCGACCCCGAUGCCGAGGGUGGAGCCAAAAGUGGCGGUAGAGAUCUGCGCGCCUUGAUGUGUGCCUGCAACGCUGAAAUGGCCGCUGCAUUACCACCGCUCACAAGCAGAAGCUAGAUGCUCUAUUCAUGGGGAAGUGUUUGUUGCCCAACUGCAUGCAUGCACUGCAAUGUGCUUUUGUGAACGUGCUGCCAAAUGGAUUUGAAGGAUUGGUGGACAUGGUGUUCACCGCAAGAGUAGCGAUCCGAGGUGAAUGGAGAGCCACUGAGUUUGAGGUUCUGGGAUCCUUACUCUCUUGUCCAUCCUGCGGUGGUGCCAGUGGGGACAAAACUUCAUGCGGCUUUCCAUCCACUGCCUGUGUUCUUCGUGAACUUCAGCAACCAAAGCAUUUGUGGCCGGAGAGGAACAGGUGUUGAGCUCGUAUCAUCGUAAUAUGUUUCAUCUUCGAUGAGUUUAUUUUGUGCAAUCAUAGAUUAUAUUUUUAUGUGCUUGCUCUUGCCCGGGCCCCCAAAAUUUAAAUUUUAUUCCGUGGAGAGCAGAGAACAAGGCGGACUUGGGCGAGACUAAGUAAUAAGGGCAAAGGCUAAGGGCACUAAGAUGAGGGGUCAAAACAUUAAUAGAACAUAUCUUGCUUAUCUCGUAGGUGGUUGGGUUUACACUUGAGACUUGCCUACAUCUACAAGAAUCCUGAUCCACUACCACCAACCAUCUUGCUGCUAACCUUGGGUCAAAAUCUUUAUCAUUAAUAUUAAUAUGAAUAUUAGCGCAGCUCACUGCAUGUUUGCUGCCCAUUAAGAAUGGGCAAGCAACAAGCUAGACAAAAAGUAGAUUGGUAUCACGGAUGAAUAAAAUCCAUGUGCAAGGAUGAAGCAAGGUAUGAAUUGGGCACCUAUCCCUUAAAAUUGAGCAUUUGUAGAUGCUAAAGUGAAUAAUGUAAUCUAUUAAACCUUAUUAUAAAAUCAACACAUUAACUUGCAUUAGUAAUAAUACCAAUAUAUGAUAAUUACUAAAUGUGCAAUUGAUAUUCUAAAUGAAAAUAGACUUAAUUUCAGUGACAAAUUUGUUUCAUUUAAUAUUGAUUUUGAAGUUGGAACAAGAUUAUAGGCACUUUUUGUGCGACUUUGUUUGUUCAUUAUUAAUUUAAAUUAACUCAACUUUUCUUUUUAUCCAUUUUUUCCCAUUUAAGCAUAUUAUUGUUUUAAAAUAAGUAUCUUAUGUAAGUAUGAUUUCUAACACAUAAUGACUUGGUUUUUAAAUAAUCAUAUUAAAGAAAACACCUUAUUAACCUGUUUAGAUUUUAUUAUAAAAAUUUGAAAAUAAAUAAAAGUUGUAUAAAAGUAAUAUUUAAAUUUUAAGACAUAUAAAAAUUUUAAUCAAAAAUAAUAAUAGCAUCUAAAAGCUUAAAUAUACUAUAUUGUAUUUUUUUUGAAUUUAACCCACAUAAUAAGCUAGUAGAAACGUUUUUUAAAUUUUUAAAAUCAACUAAAGAUACAAUGAGAUUUUUUGAAGUUGUAAAGUAUAAUAUGUAAAAUACUAAUGAGGUGUACAAAAUUUUAAUAGACAUAGAUAAGAAAAAUAUGUUGUAAUUUUCUAAAUAUUGUUCUUUUGUGAUUCUUGUAUAUUUUAGAUAUUUAGUACAAUUAAAAAAAGUCAAAUUUUAAAAAAUGAAAUAAAAGAAUCAUUGUAAGAUGUGUGUAUAGUAUAUGAAAUAAAAAUUAUAAUAUACAAAUAAAGAUAAUUAACAAGAUUCAUAAAAAAUAUUUUUAGUUUUUAAUUUAUAUAUUAUUUUAAUUAUACUUGAUUUUUUUUAAAAUAAUAAUUUAAUUAUAAUAGAAAAGACUUUUUUUCAUAAUAUUUUUUAACAAUCCAUUAAUGCCUUUAAUAUAAAGAUUUUUUUAUUUUGAUAGGAUAUACAAUGCAUUAUUUUGGAUUAAGACUAAUUUUUUUUUGGAAUUUAAUUAGAAGAGCAUAGUUCUAAUAAAAAGAUAUUGGAUUAUAUCAAAAAAACUAAUAUUACAUAAUUUGUUCCAAAAAUUAAGUAUGUGCUAUCAAAAAGUCAAACUAAAUAUUUUUCAUAAGUAAUUUGUGUUGAUAUGUUAUUAUUUAUUUUAGAAUAUAAAAAUUAAGUUGAAAUCCUUAUAAUGAUAAUAUUUCUUAAGUUAUGUGAUACAACAAUUAUGAUUUAUUUAUCAAGUAUUAUAAUGCACCAUAAUUUGUAUAAACGACUAAUAUAAUAUGUAAUUUCAAAUAUUUUCAAUAAUAUAUUAUUAUAGAUAUAUAUAUAUUGAAACUAAUAGUUACUAUGUUAAAAAUAAUUGAAUGGAAGCAAUUAAAAGUAUAUAAAUUUGAUAAUAUUAUGUAAAAAAGCUUUUUAGGAGCUUCAUAGAUUUGGAUUUGACUUUAUAAGUAUUUGUAGGUAAUUAAUAGGUUGAAAGCUUGGCCAACAAGUUGGCCAUGUAGCACACAUAUUAUAAUUUUUUUUUAUAAGUUACAUAUGUCUUCUACAAUUUGGACAUGUGUUGAGUGACCUAUAGGUUAUUGCUAUGUAAUUUCUUAGUUAGAUAGUAUAUAUAGAAGUAAGAGUGAGGCCUUUAUCACUCUUGUAAAUGCCUUUCUUGUUUUUAGCCUUGUUUCAAGUAUAUCUAUACUUCUUGUGUUUAAUAGUAGCUAUUCUAGUUUCAAUAUUAUAACUAACUUUCAUUGAAUAUUUAGUCUUUUUUAGUGACACAAGAGUGUAUUGAUUCUUUGAUUGAUUUUUGAUUCAUGUCCUUGUCAAAUUAACAAGAGUAUACUUACAAUAUCAAAGAUUUUUCUUUUCUUGAUAAGAAAAUGAAUUACUUCUUUUUAUUGAUAAUACUUAAGCAUAUAGAGAAAUUUUAAAUUAUCUACUUUUAAUUUUUUUUUUUUUUUAGAAUUUUCUUUGCUUUUGUUUUUUUUCUUUUUUUAUUUAUCACAAGUAAUAUUUUGUAUCUUUAUUUCUAUUAUUUUAUUAUGAAAAUAAUCAUUAAAAUAAAAAAUAAAAUAAUAUAAAUAUAGGAAUAAAUAAAAAAAGUUAAUACUUGCAAUACAUCUACUUAAUUCACUACUACAAGAAACAUAAAGAUUGGUUGGAAGAAAAGAUACAAAAAUGAUUGAAGUUGUUUUAUCAUCUAUAUUAAAUCAUAUUACUUUUUUUUAUGAUAAAACAUUAUUUAAACAUCACAAUAUGUAUUAGAGAACUAAAAAAUGCCUUGUUUUAAAAUUUUAAUGGUACAUGAUCAAAGUUUUGAAAAUAUAUCACGUAAAUACAAUUGGUGAUUAAGCUUCAAUCUCAAAGUUAUCUAACUUAAUAAUUACAAGUCAAGUUAAUUAAAAUAUUACAUUUAAGUUCAAUUUUGUUAUGAUUUUUAUCUUUUUUUGAACAAUAUGAUCUAAUAUUGAAUAAUAUAGAGGUUUUUUAUGUGGAAUAUAAAUCCAUGUAUGAAAAAAAUAUUAAAAUUUAUAUUGCAACUAAUAAGAUUCUUAUUUUAAAUCAAUGAAAUUGUUAAAUAUCAUUAAAUGCUUUAGAAUUUUUACAACUUGCAACUAAUAUUAAGUGAGUUGAUGAUGCACUCAUCAAUCAAUUUUUUUAUGGAUUGCAACAUGAGAUAAAGAAAUUGAUGCUAAAUUUAUAUAAUCUUCAUACAUUGGAUCUAAUAAUUAAUUUUGUUGUAAAAUGUGGCAAUAUAUUUUUUAAAUUUUUAAUCUAAGAACUAUACAAGUAUGCCUCAAUGUCUUUAUAAUUUAGUGGCAAUACAAAUGUCUUGUUAAAACAUACAUUUGGAAGUAAAGGAGAUGCAAAUUAAUGUAGUAUGUUUUAAACUUCUCAAUGAGCAAAAAAAUAUUCAACAUUGUCAAGAAAGAUUGUGCUUAUAUUAUAAGAAACUUAAGUACAAUACUCAAUAUUAUCUAAAGAAGUGACAUAACCACAAAGUAAAGAGCAUGGUUGUCAAAGUUGACAAUAUGUUGAAAAAUGAAUUUGUCUAACUAUAAUUUAGAUUGAGCAGCUAGAAUAUUUUGUAAUACCUAGUGAAGGUCUUAUUAUUUCUUUAAAAUCCUUAUAUUUAUUCUUAAUAGAUGUUUGUUUAGGACCUAAAAAUUAAAAUUCCUUUUUCUUAUUAGAUUUUUAAGCUUAAUUAAUUAAUUAUUUUUUAUUUUUAUUUUUGAAAUGAAUACUUUAUUAAAAUAUAUAAAAUAUUUUUAUUGAAGAAAAUUAAGUCCAUACAUAUAGAAGUCAUAAAUUUUUGUUUUUCUUUUGUUUUGUUUUUUUUUUUAUUUAUUUAUUUAUUUUUUUUAUUUUGAAGAUAUUUUAAUAAAAUUAUUCUUAUAAAUAAAGCAACUAAUGGUCAAACUAGAUUAAUAAUAUAUAAAAUUAUAAAAACUCCUUCUUAUAUAGUUAUUUUAAAUUUAUUGUACUUAAAAAAUUAUGACUUUUAUAAAGCUUGGAUUCUUUAUAAUCUUAAUUUUUUUUGUAGUACAACUAAGACUAUAGACUUUUUUUUAAUAUUUUUCUUAUUAUAAUUACCAAUUACAACUACGAUUAUUUUUAAAUUAUAUAGCUAUAUUAAUUCAUAAAAAUAUAAAUAAUCUAUUUUACAUUGAAAUUUAUCUAUCUUUUACAUAUUUUGGAUCUUUUUCACUGUAUCAUUUUUUCUAAGUAGCCUCUUUUGACUUCCAUGCUAAUUUUAUUUUUAUUAAAAGUUGCAUCAGUAAUUAUUCUAUUUGAUAGUCUUCUCAUCCUUCAAAGAAGAAGUCUUGGUCUUGAUAAGAAUGAAACUUUUUUUAUCUUCAUCACAUCCUUGAGCUAAUUCUUCUAAUGUGAUACUAUUAUAAAGAAUGUCAAAUUAUCAUUCAAAGAUAGAGAGAGGCUUGAAUUUCUUAAUUCUAUACUAUAUUCAAUACAACCUCCCCGUAAUCUUUUAAAAGGUUUUUUUUUUUUUUUUUUUUUUUUUUUUUUUUUCUGUAUUGGAAUUCUCUCCUUUCAAUAAUAAUACUUUAAAUCUCUAUUAUAGUUCUUAUUGUGUGUUAAUAUUAACAAAGUGGAGAAUUUAGAAGAAGAUUUUUAUCAGAUCUUUAAUUAAUUUCUUAAAUUUUUUUUAUGCAUUAACUAUAUUCUUCACAAAAUUAGUUGUGGUCUUUAUUAUAGGAUUUAUUGAUAUAAGUUCUAAGUGAUUUAUGGUCUAAUCUCAAAGUUACACUUUAGUAAUUAACUUUGGAUUGAUAAUAUAAAAAAUACUUACUUCUUCAAUUAAAAUUGCAUGUGCACUAAUGAAAGUGGCUUAAAAGUUGGAUUGUUAAUCCAUAUAGUAGAUUUUAUGCAUUGAUGUUCUCUUUCUUCUUUAAAUUAUACAUGUGCAUUACAAAUGAGAGGUUAGUCAAAUUUGGAUUGCUUUAGAUUGUAUCUUUAAUUUUAAGAGGCACUUCUCUUAAUGCAAAUUUGCCAAUCAUAUUAUCUUUCAAAACCACAAAGGCAUCUUUUAAAAAUGACCACAUCCUUAUGCAAUUAAGUCUUCAUGUAAUAUUUUCUUCUUUGCAUUGUUAUUUGAAUUAGUAUUAAGGACAAAAACUUGAUAAAAGUAAAUAAAUAAGUGAGACUUUUUCAAAGAAGUAUAACAAAAUAGAAAUAAAGAAGUACAUUUAUUAAAAAGAAACUUGAAUGGAUAUUGCCAAAAGAUAAAAAAAUUAGAGACUUCUUGAAAUUAGAGUAGAAGUCAGCAAAGAAUUGACAAGAGUGAAGAAAGCUUCAUUCUUACCUCUAUAUAUACUAUUUACCUAGGAGCUAGAAGGCAAUGUUCUAUAAGACCUUCAAAAUAUAUUGAUUUUAUACAAUGCAUAUCUUAACUUGCAAAGCAAGUUUUCUAUAUGGAUACUAUAUAGUUAACUUAUUCUACAAGCUAUCAACAUAUAUGGUAUAUAACUAAUUUGUUGAUCAAGUUUUUAACCUACCAAUAAACCAUAAAGACAUGUAAAAUCAAAGCAGCUUCUAUGAAGCUUCUAAGAAGCUUUUCAAGAAGAUAUUAUGAAAUUAAUCUAUUUUUAUCUACUUCUAUCUAUUCAUAUAAUAUAAAUAAUAAUUACAAUAAAUAUAUAUCCAUGAAAUUAUUCCCUUUUUUAGAGACGAAUUCCACAAGGAGCAAUGAUUACAUGUUGAAGAAGUCUAAGAUAUGGUAAAUUGCAAUUUCCAGGUGCUUUGAUUUUUUUUUUUUAUUAAGGUAGUUCAUAGGUCCUCUCACCCAUCAAUAAUGUCCCAUUCCAAGGCAAGAAGAUCAUCUUAUUAUUUGAUCAUUGUUGAGACCUUUGUAACUUCUUUCAAACAAAAUAUUUGUAUCACUAUCAAGAGUUGUCUCUACCUCCAAUAAAAACACCAAACAUUGAAAUUCUUUUCUCAGGUUGUAAUAUCAAAUGUGUUGUAUCUCGCCAUUUAUUUAAAGAAGAAUAUAUUACUUUUGAAGCAUAUAAUAUUACAAAUUGAUUUAUUAUUACAAAAUAUAGAUCUUCUUUGUUGCAACACAAAUUGCAUCAUUUUUUUAUACAUAGAUCAAAAUUCCACUGAGAGAGAUUUCAAAUUAUCUAAUAGUAGAUUACAUUAGUCAAGAAAAGAUAAAAACUAUGAUUAUGCAGAACCAAAAAGUAACAUUCCAAUAAACCUUAUUUGUGAUCUUAAAGUUGUAUAGCUUUGGAGUUUAAGUUCAAUUGCUAGUUGUACUUGAUUGAUAAAUCCAUGAAACUUUAAUCUUGUACCAUUGAAUUUCUUAGAUUAAGAAAUUCUUGAUUUUUUAGGACUUGAAAGAUAUUCCAUGAUAAAAAAAGAGAUAAGAUUUAAUACAAAUGUUGAAGCAGCUUCAAUCAUCUCUAUAUCUCUACUUUCUAUCAUUCUUGUUCCUCCUUGUGGAGAUAAAUUGAGUUGAUACAUUGCAAGCAUUAACUUCCUCAAUUAUUUUUGAAUUUGUGCCAUUACACUCUUCAAUUCAACAAGCUCUACCAUAAUAACACUUAAAAGAAAAGAGAUAUCUAAUAUCAUUUAAAAUAAGUAAAAAAAAAAGAACUUAAAAAUAAAAAAAAAAUACUAAAAAAAAUAUCAAUUUAAACGAGGAUAAUUUACAACUUCUAAUAUGCUUAUGUCUUAUCUAGAAAAAAAAAUAAUCUAUUCUUAAUCAUGAAAAGACAAAGCUUUGAUAUUGUAAGUAUACUCUUGUCAAUUUAUUAAAGACAAGAAUUUGAUGAAAGCAAAUAAACAAGUGAAACUUGCUCAAAGAAGUAUAACAAAAUAAAAAUAAAGAAGUAUAUAUAUUGAAAAGAAAUUGAAAUUGCUAUUGCAAAAAAAUAAGAAAACUAGAGACUUCUUAAAACUAGACUAGAAGCAAGAAAAAAGUUGAUAAGAGUGAAAAAUGCUUCAUUUUUGCCUUUAAAUAUACUAUCUAUCUAGAAGCUAUGUGAUAACGUUCUAUAGGACCUCCAAAAUAUGUUAAUUUUGUACAACAUGUUGUAUUAUGUGUGUUCUUGCUUAAAAAUGAACCAAGCACCUACCUGUAAAAAGUAAGUAGAAAUGCAACAACAAUCCUAUCCAGUCUAAUAGAAUCUUAAAUAAACUUUAAAUAAGCUUUAAUAAUCUUAAUUUAAUUUUGACCACUCUAAAAUAAAUUUAAAAGUAGUUAUAAAAGAAACAUAAAGAAGUCUCAAAUUAAUCUCAAAGAAAAAUAAUAAUAAAUCUUAAAGAAAUAUAAAAAUAAAUCUUUCAAAAAAUAAAAAUAAUCUUAAAGAAAUAUUAGAAAUAGAAAUCUUAAAAAAGAAUCCUAAAGAAAUAUUAAAAAUAAAAGCCUUAAUUAAAUCUUGAUCAACUUUUAAGUCAAAUCUUAUUUAAAAUCUUAAUUGAAUCUUAACCAAAUCUUAGGUCAAAUUUUAAUAAAAUCCUAAUAAAAUCUUAAAUCCUAGAAAUUUUUUAGAUAAAUCCUAAUCAAUUUCUAAUCAAGUUCUAAACCAAAUUCCAUGCAAAUCUUAAUCCUAACUAAAUCCUACACCAAAUCCUAAAUCUUAUCCAAACCAUUGAUAAAUCCUAAACCAAAUCCUACAACAAAAUGGAACUUCAACAACUAAUAAUCAAAUUAUUAAUAUUAAUUCAAAAUUUGUAUUCUUUUUAAUAACUUAGUUGAGAACAAGCAUAAGAAGAAUGAAAUUGAUCACACAUACUAAUUGAAAAAAAUACAAGAUAAUCCAAUCGGAUAUUGAGAGAUCUCCUAUUCCAACUUGAAUGUUGAACUUCUAGCACCAAUAUUUCCUUCUUAAAUUAUUGAAUUGCUUUUAAAUCUCACCUAAACAUUGGAAAUUGAUUCUAGUAUUCACAAAAAAAUAUUUUUUUUAAUCCAAAUGAUAAAUUCUUAAAGAUCUUGAAAACACUCACUAACUCUCAAACUCAUUUUUCAAUCUAAUUAUUUGAUUGAUUUCAAAAUUUGCAUACACAUUUAUAACUAAUACACCAAUACACUAUCUGAGAUUCAUUUAUACAUAUACUACAAAACUUGAAAAAUCCUCAAAUUUAUGAAUAUGUUUUUUUUUUUUUUUUUUUUUUUAAAGUCUAAAUCAAUUAAAAAUAUUAUUAACUUUUGAAAAUACUUCAAAAACUAAAUAUUGAUUUAAUUGAUAUAACAGUAAUGCUUAAAAAUCUCUUCUCAAGUUUGAUCUCAAAUCUUACUCUUUGAUUUACCAAAAAAUACCAAAAUCACUGUAUGGAUAUAAUUUUAUGCCUCAAGGUCUAAUUUUGAUCCAAGUUGAUAACCGGUCCUUUUUGGAUAUCAAUUUUUAAUAAUUUGAAGUAAUUUUUACUUUAUUCUAUUAUUAAUUCAUUUUUAAACAUGCUUAUAUCAAUUUUUUACCUCAUUCAUUUUGAUUUGGCUCAUUUAUACUUCUACAGAGUAAAUAAAAGUCUCUUCUACAAAAAGGUAGUAUUAAGACUAAAUCUUUUACUACCUUUCUAUCAUUUAUCUUUAUUUUUCUAUUACAUCUCUCUCCUAGGAUCUUUUAUAAUAACAUCUAUAUUUUUAUUUUUCACUAUAUAGUUGUGUUACUACAUGGCUAUGUAUCUUAACUUAUAAGGCAAGUUUUUUAUAUGGACACCACAUAAUUUGCUUCUUCCACAAGCUACCAACAUGUGUGAUAUAUAAUUAACUUAUUAACUAAGUUUUCAAUCUAUCAAUCAACUAUAAAGACAUGUAACAUCAAAGCAACAUCUAUAAAGCUUUUAGAAAGCUUUUUUAGAAGAUAUUAUGAAAUUAAUUUACUUUAAUCUACUUCUAUCUAUUGAUAUCAUCUAGAUAAUAUUUACAUUAAAUAUAUACCCAUGACAAUAAGUAGAAUUGAAUUUCUUCAGUUUGACUUGGAUUAAUAUCUUUAUCACCUUUUUUCAUCAAACCUUCAUAUUUUUCUACUUGAAUUAUUUUUUCAACUUAUAUCUAUUCAAUUAUGAAUUAAGUUUUAAUUUUUUAUGUUAAUCCUUUAUAAUUAACUAAUCUUAAUAAAUUAUAAUUUUUAAAGAUCUUUUAUAUAAUUUUAUCUUCAACUUAGUUAUGAUUCGUGAUCUUAUUUUUCUUUUUUAAAAAAACAUCUUAAAAAAUGGAUGUGGCUUUGAUAAUACCACCUUUGUCCACUGUCUUAAUUAAGUCAUGUUUUAAAUUCAAUUGCUCCUUGAGCUAGUUAUAUGUUGUUGUGAUAUAACACAACUAAUAAGUGAAAAGAAUGAAGAAAUUAUUAUAUUAAAGAAGAUUUUACUUCAAAUAUUGUAGCAAAUUAUCUUAGAAAAUAGACAAUAGUCCAAGAGAAAGUAAAACUAAAGAUAUAAAUGCUAUCUUUUUACAAAGUAGGCUUCUAUUUACUUUGUAAGGCCAAAAAUAGAAUAAAAUAAGAUAGAUUAGAAAAAUAAAGUAUAUAAGCAUAUGUAAAAAAGAAUUGGGAGUUGAUUUUAAUAAAACUUAAAUAAAAAUAGUAAAAUUUAAUAUCCAAAGAGGACUAGUUAUUAAUAAUCAAAAUAUUGAACUUCUAGUACCAAUAUUUCUUUUUUAAACUAUUCAAUUAUUUUUAAAUUUCACAUUUAUAUAGUAAAUCGAGUCUUUUAUUCUCACACAUAAAUUUCACUCCAAUCCAAGUAGUACAUUGCUGAAGAUCUUAGAAAUCCUAAGUGACUUUUAAAGUCUAAUUUUUGAGACCUCAACCUAUUUGAAAUUCAAUAAUCUUCAAUUCAACUAUUUGAUCAAGUUCAAACUUACAAUAUACAUUUUAGACAACUAUUCAUAUAAGUUCUUAAAAUUUUAACUAUAGAUCUACUAUCAAACUUAUGAAAUUCUCCAAAACAUAAUAUCCUUUUUGUUUCACAAAUUUAAGAAUCAUCCAAAAGAAUUGUAACUUUGCAAAGCUCUUACAAAGUCAUUACAUACUUAAAUUACUAAAAAUAAUUGCUCAAAGUAAUUUUAUAAUUUUUUUCUCAAAUCUUGCUCUUUGAUUUGUAAAAGUACCCUUGAAGUUGUUAUAGGUGCCUAGUUUGUGCCUCGGGGUCUAAUUUCAAUCCAUGUUGAUAAUUAGUCUUCUUUGGAUAUUAAAUUUUAUUCUUUUGAGUUAAAUUUUCUUCUUACAUAUGCUUAUAUGCUUUAUUUUUCUAAUCUAUCUUAUUUUGCCUUAUUUAUGGCCUUACAAAGUAAAUGGAAGCUUAUUUUGUAAAAAAUUAAUAUUUAUACUUUUAGUUUUAUUUUCUUUUGGACUAUUGUCUAUUUUCUAAGAUAAUUUGCUAUAAUAUUUGAAGUAAGAUCUUCUUUAAUAUAAUAUUUUCUUCACUCUUUUCAUCAAUUAAUCAUGUUAUAUCUUAACAUCUAUCCCUCCUAAAGUUGUGCAUGCUUUGACAUGCACCAAUAAUUCUUUAAUAUAUUGAUAUAGAGUAUUCUUUGCCUUGAUUAGAUUUUCAAUCUUCAAUCUUCUCUUCUUCUCCCAUCUCAAUAUCUUACAAUAGAUUUUGUUCUUCAUCAAAACUAAUUUUUAUACUUUUUUGUUUAAAUAACUUGAUUUUCUUCCUUGCUAUAGGUAUCUUUAAUUUUAUACCAUCAAAUUUUCAUAAUAAGUAUGUUCUAUUGUCAUAUAUUUGUUUGAUAAUAUAAGGUCCAAACCAUCUCUUUGCAAAUUUCUUUGCCAAGCUAUAUUGGUUGUCCAAACUACUAUCAUAAACUAAUAUCCAAUCACCAUUUUGAAUUAAUUUUGGAUGCAAUUGAUGCUUUUUGUCAAACCUCUCUUUGUUUUUCUCCUUUGUUUCUUUUAACUUUCUUAUAGCUACUUCAAUGUCCUUGGAUCUUCUUUCAAGCUGUCAAAUUCAUAAUGCUAUUAAUUCUUCUCUUGUUAAACUAUCUUCUCAAGAUAAUAUAUUCCAUGUUGGUACAACCUCUUCUAUUGGCAUCAUUGGUUUUUGUUCAUACAUCAAUUUUGCUAGCAUAUAUCCUAUAACUAUACUAAAAGUUGUGCAAUCUAUCUAUAAUGCAAAUAGUAAUACCUUACGCCAAUCACCUAUCUUACCUUUAUAUGCAUUAAUCAAUACUUUAAUAAUUAAAAAGUACCUACAUUCACUCUUGUUAUUUCUUUCUGGAUUAUAAGCAAUUAUUAAUACAAGUCUAAUACCUAUCCUCCUAAAGAACUCUCAUGCUUCAUUUGCAUUUAAUUUUCCUCUAAUAGUACUGAUUUUUCUAAUACAACUAUAUUGGCAAAUAAUUUCUUCUAAUAUAAACUCACAUAUUCCUUCCAUAAUCUUUGUUUAAAGCAUUCUUCCCUCUACUUCAUUUGUCAAAUUCUCUCAAGUAAGUAUCAAAUAUUUCUUGUGUCCAAAUCCAAUUAAUAUUGCAACUAAAUCAACCAUCUAUUUGUAGUCAAUUGCUAAUGGGUAUAUUGAGUGCAAUCUAUCUUGAUGACAAAUGUUUGAAUAUAUUUGACAAAUUUUACAAGAUUCUAAAAAAUCUGCCACAUCUUUUUAUAUGUCUUUCUACCAAUAUUUUUCUUUUACCUUUAUAGACAUUGUUCAAAUGCCUCAAUGUCUAAUCCACUAACUUUGAUGAAAUUCUUUAAUGAUAUUUUGUUGAGUGCCAUAGUCACAUACAACUUUUUGUGGCACUCAAUCCCUUUACUUUGGAUGCUUCCAUAUAAAUCCAUCUUGAAAAAAAUAUCCAUAGGCCUUUUUUUGAAUUCUUUUAAACUCAUAAUUUGUCGAAUUUUCUUACUCUUUUAAUGCACUUAAGUAUUUCCUUAUAUACAACUAUUUACCAUCAUAUAACUCUUCUGAGAAUAAUUCAAGUGGUGUAGUUAAAUGCAACCCAUCUCUUCUUGUCCACAAAGUCAAAUAAAAGUUCAUAUUGAUAUUUUUUUCAUUAUAAACUAUAUCAUCUUCAUCAUCAUACUGUGCUCUUAACAAUAUAUUUGCAACCACAUUGUCUUUUUUAAAAAUAUACUUGAAUUUUAGAUUCAUAGACUUUAUAUAUACAAUCCAUCUUAGUAUUGCUAUAUCUUGUAUAAAAAAACUAGUAAUCAUGCUUAAUAAGGAUAAAUAAUCUGUUUCUAUAACUAUUGAUGUAUCAAUCAAGUACUCUUUUUCAUUUUUCAUAGCCAUUACUAUAUUCCAUAAUUAUCUUUUAACUUUGUGUAGAUGCCUUCUACCUAGUAUUCAAAACCUUUGUCCCAAAUAUUACUACCUAUCUAUUUUUUUGUUUAUUAUCAUGUCCAACUGUCCAACCUAUUCUAAUUGGAUUCGCAUCAAUUAUUAUCAUCACUGAUCUUCCACAUUCAUAAUUUACUUUCUUCAAAGUUGGAGGUAAAAAAAGAAAUUCUUUCAAUUUUUUCAUAGUUUUUUUUUUUUUUUUUUUUUUUUUUUUCCUUUCCUUUCCAAAUAAAAUUUCUAAUUCUUUAGUAAUAACUUAUACAAUAGAUCUGCUACAUAUACAAAAUGAAGUAUCCAUAUAUGAUAGAAAAUACAUGUUCCUAUAAAUCUUUGAACUUCUAUUGUAUUUACACAUUCUUUCAUCUUUUUAAUAAUAUCAACAUUUUUCAUACUUAGCUUACGUCCAUAUGAUCUACACAUGUGUCCUACCACCAAAACUUCUUUUAUUCCAAACAUUGAUUUUGUCUCUAAUAAGAUUAAAUGAACUUCUUCUAAUCUUACCAAAAUCUUCUCACAAUCAUUAAUAUGAUUUGCCACAAACUUCUUACAUCCCUUAGCAUCCAAUAUCUCAUCUUUUCUUUCUUCUUUACAUCCUUUAAUUGGCACAUCAUUUAAAAAAAGGCAUUGUCAUACUUCAAAUAAAUUCUCUUAAUACCUUAUGCAUUCCAUUCAUCAUGUUUUUCACAAAAUUUAUAGCCCCUUGUAGUAAUGUAUACAUUUUGAUCAAUCCUAAUAGUGUCUCCAUAGUUGUCAAAUCUUUAUUUUUUAUUACUAAUUAAAAUUGAUCAUAUCCUAAAUAAAGAUUACAUAUAGAAUAAAUUACUUUUCUUACAAAUGUCUUUACAAAUCCAUCUAAUAUUGGAUUAAAAUCCAUAUUUCUAAUAGUUACUUUAUUUAUCAAUUGCAUAUCUUGAAUAAACCUCAAUGUUCCAUUUUUCUAAGGUACUAUGAACCACUCAUUAAAAUAUGUUACAAUAGAUAGUUCUAAAAUUCCCAUCUUAAACUUUUCAUUGAGUAAUUCAAUAAGCUUAGAUAAAUAAGUCUUUGAAAUUGGAAUUGGCCUUAAAUUCCAUGGAUCAUGUGGAAUCGUGAAAAUAACCUUAGAUGCCACCAUAUUUGGAUCUACACAUCUUAUUUUAUUUUGUUCAAAUACAAAUGCCUUGCUGUAUCAAAAAAUCAUCUUUUUGAAACAUCUUUCUUCAUCUUUUGUCAAAAAGUCCUCACAUCCAAACUUCAAUCCAUUUAAUGUCAAAUUAUCUUUAAAUUCAUGCCCUAUUUUCUUUGGAUCUCUCAAAUUGAGUUGCAUAGAAGCCCUUUCAAUCAUUUUCUCACAAUCCAAUGGUAGUUGCAAUGCCACUAAUUUAACCUUCUUGAAAACAAUCUUGUACUUAAUUUCUACCUUUACAUCAUAUCUAUCAACAUAUUCUUUCACCUUAUUAUAAAUUUCUUUAGAUUGCAUAUUUGCUACCUUAUCAUUACCUUCAAAAUCCAAAUCCAAUAAUACUUGCAAUUCAUCCAUGUUAUCAUCAAAGCCACUUUUUAACAUUCUCAAUAUGCAUUCAUCUUCAUCAAGCACUCCAAAUUUCUUCAAUUCAUAUUGUAUAUUUUUGAAGUUUUUCUUCUCUAUUCUUUUAUAAUUAUUUAUAUUUUUUAAUGGAAUAUAUCUAUUCCAUGAUAAUGCAACAAUGGCUUCAUCUCUUUUAAUAAGUGGGAAGCCAUCACCUCUUUUACCAUUGCAACCUCACUUUUCAAUGGCAUGUGGUGAAAAUCCCUCACAUCCUCAUUUCUAAAUUCUCUAGUAACCUUUGACAAAGGUUGCUCUCUCAAACUCCUACGAUUUCUCUCAUGAUUAGCUUAUACCAUCAAAAAUUAUAUCAUUCCUAGUCCAUCUUGAUUCCUAAUUUAAACAUAUACUAAUCCAUUAUUCAUAAUUUUUGUUUCAAUGUGAAAAGCUGUAAUAUAGGAUUGUCUUAGAAUAAUAGGAUAAGUAGACAUAUCUUGUACAAAGAAGUUUUGUUCAUCAUUAACAUCUCCUAUUGUAACCUUCAUAUUUGGACAUGCCUGAUAUAAUUCUCUUUGUGAAUUAUUUGCUAUUCAAAUCAUCCAACCAUUCUUGAUAUUAAUAGGCUAAUUUUUUCUUUCAUAUAGCUCUUUUGACAUCAAAUUGAUUUCUUAACGAUAAUCAAUUAAUGCCACAAUAGGUUCCUCAAAAUUUUUCAACUUCACCAUUAUCUCUGUUGUUUCUCUUGCUUAAUAACUACAAGAAUAAUGAUUCAAAGUUUGGAUUUCUUCUUCUUCUUCUUCUUCUUCUUCCAUAAUCCUUAUAUGUGAAACAUCUCCAUAUGCAUAAUUAUUGUCCUCUUCAUCUAUCAUCAUUCUUGUCCUAUGUGCAUUUGAAGCCAUAUUUUCAUCCAAAAUUUACCGUUUCUUUUAAAUAAUAUCCAUAAUGACAUCAUAGAAUUUUUUCUUUGCUAUUUCAAGAACUUCUUUCAAUGUAAAUUCUACCUUGUUAUUUAAAAUAUGGUCUUCUAAAAUCUUCUUCAAAACCAUUGUUGUCUCAAUAUGUGAUUACAAUUUAUAAGUAAGUGCCUUUAUUUUUUUUAUUUUUUUACGAUUCUCUUUUCUUUUAUAGAAAUAUUUUUUGUUAUUUUUUCAUGUAGAGGAUUCUUUUGUUGUCAUAUUUUCUCUCUUCUUGUAGUUCUUUUUGAUGGUCCUUCAUUAUUUUCAUCUCUCUUUUGUUUUUUGUUUUUUUUAUUAAUACUUUAGAUUGACUCAUUGCAACAUAUACAUGUAUAGAUAGAUUAUCAAUCAAAUCAUUCCAAUCCAUGAUUUUUAAAAAUGACUUAUCCACAUUAACUAAUAUAUUUCUAGCAACCUUCUCAUUUGUCAUACACUUUAUUGCACUUAGCUACAAUAAACUUAUAUAAUCCAGUACUUGAAUGCUUAUGCCCACACAAUCUCGAAUAAGUCCAAUUCUAUAUAACUUUGCUUCUAUUGCAUGAACCAUUAAUGCUUUCAUAUCUCCUUUUCCAAAGUUUCUUUCCAAUUUUUCUCCACUUUCUUUUAGGUGUAUCAUAUCAACUUUGAAAAAAACAAUCCCUUUAUAUAGUGCAUCUAUAAAAUCUUCACAUUCUCUUCUUAAAUGAUCUAUAUUAUUAUACUACAUGCACCUAUUGUCAAGGACAAAAAUAUGAUAAAAAUAAAUAAACAAGUGAGACUUCUCUCAAAGAAGAUGAAAAAAUAGAAAUAACUUGAUAUGUAUAUUAAGAAAGAAACUAAAAUUGCUAUUGCCAAAAGCCAAGAAAACUAGAGACCCUUGAAACUAGACUGGAAGCAAGAAAGGAAUUGACAAGAGUGAAGAAAGCUUCAAUCUUGUUUCUAUAUAUACUAUCUAACUAAGAACUACAUGGAAAUAUUUUAUAGGACCUCCAAUAUGUGUUGACUUUGUAGGAUACAUGCCUUAACUUACAAGGUAAGUUUUUCUACGUAUAGGCCACAUAGUUAGCUUGGUCUUCAAGCUAACAACAUGUGUGGUACAUGGCCAACUUGUUGACCACAUUUCUAAUCCAAAAAAUCAAUUAAAGACACCUAUAAAGUCAAAGCAGUGUCUAUGAAACUUUUAGGAAGCUUCAAUAGCAAAUAUUAUAGAAUUAACUUACUUUUACCUAUUUUUACUUACUUCUACCUAUUUAUAUAUGUAAUUAUUAGCUUACAUGCAUAUAUCCGUGACAUUACUUCUCCUUUUAGGGACGAGUUCUAUGAAGAGCGAUCAUCAUAUGUUGAAGAAAUCUAUGAUGUGACGAAUUGUAUUCACCACAUACUUUGAUCUUCAUUCUCUUCAAAGAUGAUUGAUAGGACCUCUCAACCAUCAAUAGUGUCCCAUACCAGGGCGAGAAGACCACCUAGUUAUUUGAUCGUUGUUGAGGCCUUCAUAACUUCCUUUGAAUAAAAUAUUUGAAACACCUUCAGGAGUUGUUUCUACCUCUAGUAAAAUCACCAAACAUUGGAAGUCCCUUCCAAAGUCGUGAUACCAUAUGCAUUGUAUCUUGCAAUCUAUUUGUGGAAGAAUAUGUCGUUCUUGAAGAUCUUCAUCUCAAUUACAUUGUCUUAAAGGUUAUGACAAUCGUAAUGUUUUGUCCGGUAGCUCAGCAAACGAAGGCUCUUGAGUCAAAUCCACUAGUUGUUGGUUCUCCAUCUUCUCAGCGUCACAACUACAAAGAAGCUACAAACAAGGAUUGAAAGUAGAAUGUUAUCUUACUUAAAUCUUGUUUCUUUUAUAAGGAAGGUUUUUAUCUUGAUUUUGAUAGAUGUCGCCAAUGAAAAGCCUCGACCGCCUUUGCUACAUUUGCAAGAUUCUUUACUGGCUCCCAUAUGUCUUCACUAAUAUCAUAUCAGUAGUUGAAGUAGAGAGAGUUUGCCACAAGAAAGUGCUAAGCUUUUGGCUGCCACUAAAUAUUCAAUCAAGUCUAAGAUAUAAAAAUACCAAGUUAUAUAUAUAAUAUUUUUCUUUUUCAGACAAUUACAUCAAAAUACAAGCCCAAGUACCAAAAAAACAUCCAAAUGCAUGAUAAAGAUCUUAAAACCUUAUAUAUCCUUCUGAGAGAUGUUUUCCAAAAUUCAACAGCUCAUAUCUCACGAUUGAACUAUCCAAACAAUCCUAAAUUUUACAUAAAGUAUUAAUAUACUUUCAAAAACUUCCACAAAAAAAUCCAAUUGUAAAUUCAAUAUGGAUCUUGAGAUAUUGUCAAAACCCUAACAGUAGCUUUAAAUCCUAGCUUACAUAUACCUAUGUGCUAAUUUCUUCAUAUCUCACAAAAUAAGUACUCAAAUAAUAUGAAACUUUGAUUUAUAGCUUUUCAACAUAAUAAUUCAUAUUUUUGGAAAGUUUGAACUAAAAAUUCAUCCAGAAAUUCAAGAUAUAGCUCCAACCAUUACUAUCAACAAAAUGACUCACUUACUGCCUUUGAAUUACAAAUGUUGUCUUCAAAUGUCUAUAACUUCUUUAUCUAGACUUGAAAUUUAUCAAACAAUAUAUGUAAAGUAUUGCCAAGAAAGUUUCCUCUCCAAUUCUAGUCGCCGAUCUUUCAUUGCUCUUUGUAUGCAUAUGUUAUGCUUCAAAGAGUGAUAGUAGGUACAAAUUUAACACCUUAACUUUGAACAUCUAUAUCUCCUUCAUAAAAACUCAAAAUCACACAAACUCUUUACCCAAAUUAUACAAAAACACCCUGAACUUGCUGACCCUAGCCUUGAAAGCUCAAAUGACUUUGAAAGAGAAACCCUAAUCCUUAAUAAAGCCUCGAAGAGCCUCCUUGAAGCCCAUUGGACAUGGCCUUCGACCAAUAGGAAUGAAGAUCUCCAUUCUUUGUCUUCAUUCAACCAUGCUUUGCUUUCAUCCCUUCCAAUAAGCCUCCUAUUAGUUAAGAUUUUUUUCUUUAGGCUCUAAUCUCCUCUCAAGGCUUUAUACUAAAUAUUUAGGUCUUACGAAUUUUUUUAAUUCUAUAAUAAAAAAAGAUAAAAUUCAAAAUAAAGUUUCUUAAAUCUACUCUCUUUAAAUUAAUCUAUUAAUCAUUCUAACAUAUAUCUAGAUUUAUUAAUAUAUAGUAUAUUUUAACUAAUUUUUACACAUUGUAAGCUUUCACAAUACGACACCGCUGUCGUGUUGUAAUACGAGUGUACCAUGAAAAUAUAAAGAAAGGGGACUUUUAUUAAUAUUCAGUUACCUCAAAUAUUGUGAGCAAUGAUCGAUUCUAGUGCCAAUAUUCAGGGGCCAGUUCAGACAUCCCAUCACAGUCGGUCAGGGCAUACUUACUAGUAACAAAAUGCUCCAUUCGAAGCCAAUAGUGGGAGUCAAUAGAAUCGAAAGGACUAAAUUGAUGACUGAGUGAGCUUGACGUGAAGGACCAAUUUGACCCAAUUACGAAAACAUCUAGGUCUUACUACGGGCCUCUUAGCCAAUAUGAGACCUGAUUUAGUCGGGCGACUCAAUGUGGUCCUAAUUACGGGGGUUUUGAUUCCGUUUCAGGCUGUCUUGUUCUUUGUGCCGUUUUAGGGAACGUUGUUUCCAAAAAAAGAACCUUUUAAAAGGCAAAAAAUAGAGGAGAAAGCUCUGACGAUGGAAGCCAAUUCCGGAUCCAAGAUGGAAGAUUGAAGAAAUUCAGAGGCUAGGGUUUGAGAGGGGGAGAAUUAGGAUUCUAAGAGUGAACAGCUAACUUCAUGCUUCGAAAGAAAAAAGACAGAGAAUUGGGAUUUUUUUUUUUUCUUCUUCAUAGGGUUUUGGGAAGACUGAGGCAAUCGUUGCUGAAAGUCAGUGUUGUACUGGUGAAUCGGGGUUUUAAUGAAGUGGGUGUGAUUACUCUUGAUUAUUGUGUGAAAUCAAAGUUACGACUAUAAUUGAAGAAUUAAAAGAGAGUCUAUAGGAUUGAGUAUGCGGAGUGAAUGAAAUUUAUUGGGUUAAUCUAAUGAGACAAUUAGUGGAUACAAGGUCGUGAGUAUAAAGCGGUAUCGAAGAUUAGCAGUUUGAAUUGUUCGAGGUUCUCUGUAACGUCAAGAGACCUACCAGCCGAGGCAAAAAGGAUUUCGGCGAGUAGUCAAAGGGCAUCCAUAUAGAUUUACGGUAUGUUCUUGUAGUUGUUUAUAUUCCAAUAGUCAAAAACCCAUAGACUGCUUGAAUACUAGUAAAACACCAUACUACCUCCUAUAGCCACACGCUCGGUACAUUCUCAAGCAAGAUAGCACGUAAUAUGACAUAAGUGGUGAACUCAAUGUAAAAGCUUGAGAUAGAAGGUAUUGGAUUUCGUUUGAUUUUAUUUUUAUUUUUACGGAGAACAAAAAUAAAAAAUUUGAAGGAUCUUUGGAAGGAGUUUCUGGUAGGGGUUCUUUUAAAGGACAAGGUAUGCACAUGGAUCCGUCUAUUGCUAGUAUGUUUCAAGCCUUCUCAUUAUCAAUGUAGCAACAGCAAAGCAAUGAUCGAAAAGAAGCUUUGGCAACCAAAGCAUUGCAAGCAAUGGUCAAUAAAAUUGAUCAAUUUGAUGGAAGGAAUAUUUCAAGGUAUUUAAGAUGUUAUGUUCAUGAAAUGGAAUUAAAUCGGGUUUUUGAGAAGAAAAUGGUUGAAUUAUUUGGACUUGCCAUGAUACCGGAGAUAAGAGACCAUAUUACAUCGAUUACGGAUCAUUAUGGGAAUUCAUGGGAGGUUUUUUCACAUGCAUUGAAAGACAAAUAUUUCUUGGAAGAUGCUGAUCGCAUUAUUAAGAAGCUGUUUCUUGAAUGGAUUGAACGACCUAAUAAGAAUUUGGAAGCAACAGAGCUACUAAGGGAAUUUGAGAGGCAAUACUCUCAAUUAUCGAAGGUAGAAAAAUUGACAUUGGAGCCGAACAAAGUUGAUCUAUUUCUUCAAGCUGCUGAUCAAGAAUUGUAAGAAAAAUUGGAACUCCUUCUUGAAGACAAAGAGGAAGAUGAAGGAUUGACAAUAAAGUGGAAGAAUGUUGAAGAUGCGGUGGGGUUGCUUGCAAAAAGAGAAAAGAGGAAGGAUAGGAGAAAUAUUCCAAAAACAGUACAAGCACCCAAAGCUCCAGUACGUACAACACCACCAACAAUGCCUAUAGUUCAACCUUCGACAUCCUUAUCAAAGAAAGCAGAUAUGGAGAUGGAAGAAAUUACACGAGAAAUACGAGAUCUUCAAAUCAAAUUGGCAAGACUUGAAGAGAAUACUUUUACAAAUAAUUUGAAGAAUGUUUCGAAACAAGAAUAUGUACAAAGAUGCAUUUAGUGUGAUAAUGCUUCACACACUAGAAAAGAUUGCAAUGAAUUUAAUAAUAUGAUAUGGCAAGGAAUUAUUUGCUGGAAAGAUGGAAAGAUAGCAUUAAAAGAUAGGAAGGAUCUUCUUCAAACCAAUUUUGGCAAGGGAGGAAUGAGAGCAUUGGUUCAAGAUUACUUAAAAGAGCAUGAAACAGCAAAACGAGAAAGUGCAAGUUAUGGUGCUAGAGUAGAUGAUGACCUUGGUGGAAGAACGGAAACUAGUGAGUUUUGGGCUUCUUCCAUUUCUACAAUGUAAGAAGGGAAAUUACCUCGAGAAGCAUUAUUGUGGACUGCAGCUACAAUACGAGGUGCAAUAGGUUGGGAGGAUCCUGUUGAGUCUCUUUCAAUUCAUGCAUAUAUUGCUAAGAGCCAACAUAAAGCUUUGAUGGAAGAAAAGAGACGAGGAAAUUUUGAUGAUACGAGAGAAGGAAAUUCUUCUAAGAAGCAAACUCGAGGAGACAAGGCUCGGGAGGCAACUUCACAAGAAUUGCCUGUAAAAGAUACCUCAGCAUCAUUGGAAGAAAAAACAAGGGAGACAAAAGAUAAGGGAAAAUCAAUUGCUUAUAAGCUACUUUCUGACAUUGAAGCGGCAACAAAUUUGAAAGGGGUGUUGGAAGAACGUAUAUUAAAUGCUAAGGUGGAAUUCACAUUGAAAGAAGUCUUGGGAAUUGCAAAGAAGGAGUUUCAUGAUGUUAUCAUUGAUAGUAUUAAUCGAAAGAGGCAAUUAAUGGGUGAAACUGGAAUGAGUCAUGCUAUUGAUACAAGAAUAUAUAAAGAUGAAGAAGAGGUUGAUAUUGGUUACAAGCAACCAACAAAUGAAAAGAAUGGAUAUAAUCAACGAGUACGUUUCGAAGAUUAUAGUGAUAAGAAAAUGGAAACUUUGAGCCAUUAUACUCGAAAGCAUUGGACAAGGGCAACUACUGAGGUAUUAGUGAAAGUAGGAGAUAUAGAAGAACCAAUUGUUGCUUUAGUCGACCAUGGUUCUGAAAUAAAUCUCAUGUCUAAAGAUCUUUAUAAGAAGCAAAAAUGGCCAAUUAAUAUGGAACAUGGAUGGACAAUACGAGCAGCUAAUAACACAUGGGGCGAAUUAUAUGGAACUUGUCCAGAUGUCAAAAUUUGGAUUGGAGAUGUUGCGAUGGAGCAACAUUUCUUUGUUCAAGAUACAAUGUCUUAUCCAUUGAUUUUAGGACAACCUUAUAUUACGGCAACACGGAUGGAAACAAAAGUACUUGACGAUGGUUCUGCUUAUGCAAGGGUAUGUAGCAAAGAUGGGAGGAAAGUUGUACAAUUUCUAAUUGUACCUCUUAACCAUGAACAGAAUCGAGAUAGAUUGAGAGAGAAACCAUUGCCAAAGAUUGUUGAAGGAUUUAAGGAUUUUGGAGAGGUACUACUGUAAAGCGAGAUUAUGGAGGUACAAAAGAGGAGGUACUCUCAUGAGAUGAAGGUACCUUUGAUGCGAGUUUUAUUGGUAUUUUGGAGAAUGGAAAUAUUAUGUAUAAGAAAGUUAAUGAUUUUAAAAGGAAAGAAAGAAAAAGAUUAUAUAAAAUUGAAGGAGAAUUACGCAAGUUAGGUACAUUGCAAGAUGAUGAGAGGAUUUUAGGUGUUUAUGAAGAAAAUGGACUGGAAGAUUCAUUGGAAUUGAUUACAUCUAUUGGGUUAGGGGAUAAUGAUAAGAUUGUUGAGAUUCAUUCAAGAGAGGUUUAUACCAUACUUGAAUCUUUUCAAGCACCAGAAGUCACUGUAGAGACGAGAUAUAAAAUGGCAGAUAAGAAGGUAAAGCCUGUUGUCGGACCAUUACUAGAAGAUUCUAAAGAACAAACGGGAGAAGCAUCAAAAGAAGCAAGUUUAAGAGAUCCAAUGAGUAUUGGACAUCAGUUUACUAAAGAGGCUUUUGAAGAAUUGAAGAUUGGUUCUGAUGGUUCUUUAUUGCCAGAGGAAAUUACUUGCUUCAAAAAGAUGUUGGCUAAACAAGGUAGAUCGUUUGCCUUCGAAUCUCAUGAAAUUGGGUGUGUGGAUCCAAAUAUUAUAACACCUAUAGUUAUCUUCAUUGUACUGCAUGUACUUUAGAAUCUAAGACCGAUUCCAGUACCGAGGGCACAUUUACCUAAAUUAGUGGAACUAUUAAAAGAAAAGAUGAAGGUAAAAAUAUUGGAACCGUCAUUUGCACCGUAUUCUAGUCGAUGGUUUACGGUACCUAAGAAGAAUGGAUCACUACGGUUUAUUCAAGAUAUGCAACCGGUGAAUGCAGUAAUUGUCAGGAAUGCAGAAAUUGGACCUAUUGUAGAUGAAUUUGCUGAGGCGUUUGUUGGAAGGGUGAUCUAUUCAAUGGGUGACUUGUAUUCAGGUUAUGAUCAAUUUCAACUUGCCGAAGGAAGUAGAGAUAUGACGACAAUGAGGACACCACUUGAAUUGGUUAGAAUGUGCACUCUUCCUCAAGGCGCGACCAACUCAGUUGCGCAUAUGAUGAAUGGGAUGAAUAAGUUAUUGAGAGAUUUUAUUCCGGAGAAGACUAUGCCUUUUCUGGAUGAUGUUCCUAUAAAAGGGUAGAGAGAAGGAGACAAGGAUGAAACUUUAGAUAAGAGGGGGUGUCGCAAAUAUGUUGUUGAUCAUAUACAAGAUUGUGAAAAGAUUUUAACUCGGCUUGGAGAAGUUCAUCUUACAUUAUCGGGUAUGAAGUCCGUAUUUGGAGUACGAGAGGUUGUGAUUGUUGGACAUUUAUGUGGAUCUUACGGAAGAAAACCAGAUCCGACUAAAGUUGAUGCAAUUGGAAGGAUGAAAGAGGAUUGUGAUUCUUUAACAGAGGUUUGCAGGUUUUUAGGUGCAUGUGUAUUUUAUCGAAUCUGGAUCCCUCGUUUUGCUCACAUAGCGGACCCAUUAUAUGAACUGUUAUGCAAGGGCUACUGUUUUAAAUGGAAAGAAAGGCAUAUUCAGGCAAUGCAAAGAUUGAAGAAAUUAUUGAUGUCACCUCCAAUAUUGAGGAAGGUUGAUUAUAAGUGCAAUAGACUAGUGAUUCUUACUGUGGACGCUAGUCCAAUUGCCAUUGGAUGGACUGUGGGUCAAGAUGAUUCAAGUGGGAAUAGAUUUGCAGUUCGAUUUGGAGCUAAAGUUUUAAGUAUUCGUCAGCGUGUAUACUCGCAAGUCAAAAGAAAACUUUGGGGAGUUGUUUCGGCUAUGAAAGCUGAAAAGGAAUAUUUGAUUGGGGCAGUAGUAGUAAUUGAAAUAGAUUGCUUGCCAUUGCUUGGAAUGAUUACUAACUGUUCAAUGCCAGAUAUUGUAAUGUUGAGAUGGAUUGCUUAUAUUAAGUCACUAAAUUUAGAAUUUAAGCAUGUUACUGGGAAGGACAAUUUAGUAGUAGACAUGCUAUCUCGAGCAAGAUAUGAGAGGGAGGACAAAAUGGUUGAAGACAUUGAUGACGUCGGAUUGAAAUUCUAUUCAAUAUCAAAUCUCAACAGAGAAGAUAAGCUAUUUCUUGAAGAAUCUUAUGAAGGAGAAUUAUUGGAUAUUGGUCAUUACUUGAAUACCUUGACUAAGCAGGGAAAUUGGUCUACAAAAAAAUUCAAACAAAUAAGAAAAAAAUCAUAUGGAUUUUUGCUUCGAGAUGGAUUCUUAUGGAAGAGACCAAAGAAAGGAAUUGGAAUACUACAACGAGUGAUAGGCAAAAAGGAAGAAAAACUAAAAUUAUUAAAGAAGUUCCAUGAUAGUUUAUGGGCAAGGCAUAGAGGAAUCUGGGCUACUUUUGCUAAACUCAAGGAACGAUAUUGGUCAAAAAAUAUGUAUCGAGAUGUGCUUUUAUUUGUAGAGUCAUGUGAAAUCUGUCAAUUGUAUUCUAAUAUCCGACAUCGAGAUGGUCUUCAUCCUACGUAUCCUCUGGCUAUUCAUUUUAAAUGGGUUGUUGAUUUGGUUAUCAUGCCAGUUGGGUUAUGGCAGAUGAGAUAUUUAGUUUUAGUUCGUGAAGAUUUAUCAAAUCAAGUAGAAGGAAGAGCAUUGAGGACAAAAUCUAUAGAGGGAAUUUGUAGGUUUUUUCUUGAAGAUGUCAUUUGCCGCUACGGAUGCGUAGGAAAAAUCACUGCAGAUCAUGGAGAACUAAAUGCACAAGAAGCUCGUAAGUUCUUUGAAAGAUAUGGAGUUAAACUAUCACUGACUACUACUUAUAAUCCAGAAGGGAAUGCAAAAAGCGAACGUGGUCACCCAUCGAUUGUGAAAGCAUUAGUUAAAGUUUGUAAUGGAAAAGUUAGAGAGUAGCCACGGCUUUUGUCAUUUGCAUUAUGGGCUGAUCGAACAACACAUAGUUCGGUGACAUGAUAUAUGCCAGUAGAACUUAUGACAGGUUGAAAACCAAUUAUGCCGAUUGAAGAAAGGGUACUUAUUUGGAGGAUGCUACCAUGGGAAGAUGGAUUGACAAGAGAAGAACUUUUGACUAUUAGGAUUCGACAAUUGGAGCAAAGAGCGAAAGAUGUGCAAAUAGCAUUGGAAAGGUUAAAAAGAGCAAGGUUAUAAAUCAAGGUGCGAUUUGAUAAGCAACAUCGAUUGAGACCUAAAGCAAUCGAGGAAGGUGACUGGGUACUUGUUUAUGAUAAUAGUCUGGAUAAUCAACAUAGUACUUUGCGAAAAUUUUUAAAACGUUGGUUUGGACUAUAUGUAGUAACAACUGUUCAUGAUAAUGCGACUUACUUAUUAGGGGAAUUAGAUGGUACAAAAUUGAAAAUACCAAUUACACAAAAGGAAGUAAAAAUAUUUAAACGAAGAUGGGCAGAGGUGAAUAUGGAAGACCUUAAUGAAGGUAUAGAGAUUUCGCAGCAAGAGAUUGAAAGUGAUUUGGAUAAUGAAGGUGACGAAGACGAACUGGACAAAGACGUAGAGAAUAUAUUCUUAAUCAAACAACAAUUGGGAAAAUUAGUGCAUACCAGAUGAUGUACAGGUUUAGAGGGGGUGGAUGUCGUAUUGUAAUACGAGUAUUCCGUGAAAAUAGAAAGAAAGAGGACUUUUAUUAAUGUUGAGUUACCUCGAAUAUUGGGAGCAGCGACCAAUUCUAGUGUAAAUAUUGAGAGGCCAGGGUCAGUUACCGCGUAACAGUUAGUCGGAGCAUACUGAAAUACUCCAUUCGAUUCCAAUAACGGGAGUCAGCAGAAAAGGGAAGGACCAAUUCACACGACGAGUGAGCCUGAUUGGAAGAGCCAAUUGGAUCGAAUUUCAAGACAUCCAAUCCAGGUCCUCUUAUCCAAUAUGAGACCUGACUUGGUCACGCAACCCAAUGCGGUCUAACUAUGAAAACAUCCAGGUUUUACUAUGGACAUCUUAGCCAAUAUAAGACCUGAAUUGGUCGAGCGACUCAAGGUGGUCCUAAUUACGAAGGUUUCGAUUCCGUUUCAGGCUGUUCCAUCUUUUGUGCCAUUCCGAGAACGUCCUUUCGGUAAAAGGAUCUCUUAAAGGUAAAAACAGGGAAGAAGCUCUGACGGCGGAGCCAUGUCUGAAUCCAAAACGGAAGAUUGAAGAAAUUUCGAGACUAAGGUUUGAAAGAUGGGAGAAUAAGGAUUAAAGGGGAGGAUAGGUUAAGAAAUGAGGGGGGAGAAUAGGGUUUUUUGAGAAGGAUCAGGGAGGGAGCUUCAUGCUACGGGACGGAGAAAAUAGAGAGAGAAUUGGUUUUCUUUCUUCAUAGGAUUUUGGGAAGACUUAGGCAAUCGUUGCUGAAGUCAGUGUUGUAUUGGUGAAUCGGGAUUUUAAUGAAGUGGGUAUGAUUACUCUUGACUGUUUUGUGAAAUCGAGUUACGUUUGUGAUGAAGAAUUAAAAGGGUGUCUAUAGGAUUGAGUAUGCGAAGUGAAUGAAAUUUAUUGGAUUAAUCUAACAAGACAGUCAGUGGAUACAAGAUCGUGAGUAUAAGCGUUAUGAAAGAUUAGUAGUUCGGGUUAUUCGGGUUCUAUGUAACGUCAAGAGACCUACCAGCUAGGGCAAAAAGGAUUUCGGCAAGUAGUCAAAGGACAUCCGUAUAGAUUUACGGUAUAUUCUUGUAGUUGUUUAUAUUCCAAUAGUCAAAAACUGAUAGACAGCUUGAAUAUUAGCGAAUCUCCAUACUACCUUCUAUACCUAGACGUCCGGUGCGUUCUUGAGUAGGAAAGCACGUAAUAUGACACCAUAAUGAAUAAGUCGCAUUAUCAUGAACAGUUGUUACUACAUAUAGUCCAAACCAACGUUUUAAAAAUUUCCGCAAAGUACUAUGUUGAUUAUCCAGACUAUUAUCAUAAACAAGUACCCAGUCACCUUCCUCGAUUGCUUUAGGUCUCAAUCGAUGUUGCUUAUCAAAUCGCACCUUGAUUUAUAACCUUGCUCUUUUUAACCUUUCCAAUGCUAUUUGCACAUCUUUCGCUCUUUGCUCCAAUUGUCGAAUCCUAAUAGUCAAAAGUUCUUCUCUUGUCAAUCCAUCUUCCCAUGGUAGCAUCCUCCAAAUAAGUACCCUUUCUUCAAUCGGCAUAAUUGGUUUUCAACCUGUCAUAAGUUCUACUGGCAUAUAUCAUGUCACCGAACUAUGUGUUGUUCGAUCAGCCCAUAAUGCAAAUGACAAAAGCCGUGGCUACUCUCUAACUUUUCCAUUACAAACUUUAACUAAUGCUUUCACAAUCGAUGGGUGACCACGUUCGCUUUUUGCAUUCCCUUCUGGAUUAUAAGUAGUAGUCAGUGAUAGUUUAACUCCAUAUCUUUCAAAGAACUUACGAGCUUCUUGUGCAUUUAGUUCUCCAUGAUCUGCAGUGAUUUUUCCUACGCAUCCGUAGCGGCAAAUGACAUCUUCAAGAAAAAACCUACAAAUUCCCUCUAUAGAUUUUGUCCUCAAUGCUCUUCCUUCUACUUGAUUUGAUAAAUCUUCACGAACUAAAACUAAAUAUCUCAUCUGCCAUAACCCAACUGGCAUGAUAACCAAAUCAACAACCCAUUUAAAAUGAAUAGCCAGAGGAUACGUAGGAUGAAGACCAUCUCGAUGUCGGAUAUUAGAAUACAAUUGACAGAUUUCACAUGACUCUACAAAUAAAAGCACAUCUCGAUACAUAUUUUUUGACCAAUAUCGUUCCUUGAGUUUAGCAAAAGUAGCCCAGAUUCCUCUAUGCCUUGCCCAUAAACUAUCAUGGAACUUCUUUAAUAAUUUUAGUUUUUCUUCCUUUUUGCCUAUCACUCGUUGUAGUAUUCCAAUUCCUUUCUUUGGUCUCUUCCAUAAGAAUCCAUCUCGAAGCAAAAAUCCAUAUGAUUUUUUUCUUAUUUGUUUGAAUUUUUUUGUAGACCAAUUUCCCUGCUUAGUCAAGGUAUUCAAGUAAUGACCAAUAUCCAAUAAUUCUCCUUCAUAAGAUUCUUCAAGAAAUAGCUUAUCUUCUCUGUUGAGAUUUGAUAUUGAAUAGAAUUUCAAUCCGACGUCAUCAAUGUCUUCAACCAUUUUGUCCUCCCUCUCAUAUCUUGCUCGAGAUAGCAUGUCUACUACUAAAUUGUCCUUCCCAGUAACAUGCUUAAAUUCUAAAUUUAGUGACUUAAUAUAAGCAAUCCAUCUCAACAUUACAAUAUCUGGCAUUGAACAGUUAGUAAUCAUUCCAAGCAAUGGCAAGCAAUCUAUUUCAAUUACUACUACUGCCCCAAUCAAAUAUUCCUUUUCAGCUUUCAUAGCCGAAACAACUCCCCAAAGUUUUCUUUUGACUUGCGAGUAUACACGCUGACGAAUACUUAAAACUUUAGCUCCAAAUCGAACUGCAAAUCUAUUCCCACUUGAAUCAUCUUGACCCACAGUCCAUCCAAUGGCAAUUGGACUAGCGUCCACAGUAAGAAUCACUAGUCUAUUGCACUUAUAAUCAACCUUCCUCAAUAUUGGAGGUGACAUCAAUAAUUUCUUCAAUCUUUGCAUUGCCUGAAUAUGCCUUUCUUUCCAUUUAAAACAGUAGCCCUUGCAUAACAGUUCAUAUAAUGGGUCCGCUAUGUGAGCAAAACGAGGGAUCCAGAUUCGAUAAAAUACACAUGCACCUAAAAACCUGCAAACCUCUGUUAAAGAAUCACAAUCCUCUUUCAUCCUUCCAAUUGCAUCAACUUUAGUCGGAUCUGGUUUUCUUCCGUAAGAUCCACAUAAAUGUCCAACAAUCACAACCUCUCGUACUCCAAAUACGGACUUCAUACCCGAUAAUGUAAGAUGAACUUCUCCAAGCCGAGUUAAAAUCUUUUCACAAUCUUGUAUAUGAUCAACAACAUAUUUGCGACACCCCCUCUUAUCUAAAGUUUCAUCCUUGUCUCCUUCUCUCUACCCUUUUAUAGGAACAUCAUCCAGAAAAGGCAUAGUCUUCUCCGGAAUAAAAUCUCUCAAUAACUUAUUCAUCCCAUUCAUCAUAUGCGCAACUGAGUUGGUCGCGCCUUGAGGAAGAGUGCACAUUCUAACCAAUUCAAGUGGUGUCCUCAUUGUCGUCAUAUCUCUACUUCCUUCGGCAAGUUGAAAUUGAUCAUAACCUGAAUACAAGUCACCCAUUGAAUAGAUCACCCUUCCAACAAACGCCUCAGCAAAUUCAUCUACAAUAGGUCCAAUUUCUGCAUUCCUGACAAUUACUGCAUUCACCGGUUGCAUAUCUUGAAUAAACCGUAGUGAUCCAUUCUUCUUAGGUACCGUAAACCAUCGACUAGAAUACGGUGCAAAUGACGGUUCCAAUAUUUUUACCUUCAUCUUUUCUUUUAAUAGUUCCACUAAUUUAGGUAAAUGUGCCCUCGGUACUGGAAUCGGUCUUAGAUUCUAAAGUACAUGCAGUACAAUGAAGAUAACUAUAGGUGUUAUAAUAUUUGGAUCCACACACCCAAUUUCAUGAGAUUCGAAGGCAAACGAUCUACCUUGUUUAGCCAACAUCUUUUUGAAGCAAGUAAUUUCCUCUGGCAAUAAAGAACCAUCAGAACCAAUCUUCAAUUCUUCAAAAGCCUCUUUAGUAAACUGAUGUCCAAUACUCAUUGGAUCUCUUAAACUUGCUUCUUUUGAUGCUUCUCCCGUUUGUUCUUUAGAAUCUUCUAGUAAUGGUCCGACAACAGGCUUUACCUUCUUAUCUGCCAUUUUAUAUCUCGUCUCUACAGUGACUUCUGGUGCUUGAAAAGAUUCAAGUAUGGUAUAAACCUCUCUUGAAUGAAUCUCAACAAUCUUAUCAUUAUCCCCUAACCCAAUAGAUGUAAUCAAUUCCAAUGAAUCUUCCAGUCCAUUUUCUUCAUAAACACCUAAAAUCCUCUCAUCAUCUUGCAAUGUACCUAACUUGCGUAAUUCUCCUUCAAUUUUAUAUAAUCUUUUUCUUUCUUUCCUUUUAAAAUCAUUAACUUUCUUAUACAUAAUAUUUCCAUUCUCCAAAAUACCAAUAAAACUCGCAUCAAAGGUACCUUCAUCUCAUGAGAGUACCUCCUCUUUUGUACCUCCAUAAUCUCGCUUUACAGUAGUACCUCUCCAAAAUCCUUAAAUCCUUCAACAAUCUUUGGCAAUGGUUUCUCUCUCAAUCUAUCUCGAUUCUGUUCAUGGUUAAGAGGUACAAUUAGAAAUUGUACAACUUUCCUCCCAUCUUUGCUACAUACCCUUGCAUAAGCAGAACCAUCGUCAAGUACUUUUGUUUCCAUCCGUGUUGCCGUAAUAUAAGGUUGUCCUAAAAUCAAUGGAUAAGACAUUGUAUCUUGAACAAAGAAAUGUUGCUCCAUCGCAACAUCUCCAAUCCAAAUUUUGACAUCUGGACAAGUUCCAUAUAAUUCGCCCCAUGUGUUAUUAGCUGCUCGUAUUGUCCAUCCAUGUUCCAUAUUAAUUGGCCAUUUUUGCUUCUUAUAAAGAUCUUUAGACAUGAGAUUUAUUUCAGAACCAUGGUCGACUAAAGCAACAAUUGGUUCUUCUAUAUCUCCUACUUUCACUAAUACCUCAGUAGUUGCCCUUGUCCAAUGCUUUCGAGUAUAAUGGCUCAAAGUUUCCAUUUUCUUAUCACUAUAAUCUUCGAAACGUACUCGUUGAUUAUAUCCAUUCUUUUCAUUUGUUGGUUGCUUGUAACCAAUAUCAACCUCUUCUUCAUCUUUAUAUAUUCUUGUAUCAAUAGCAUGACUCAUUCCAGUUUCACCCAUUAAUUGCCUCUUUCGAUUAAUACUAUCAAUGAUAACAUCAUGAAACUNNNNNNNNNNNNNNNNNNNNNNNNNNNNNNNNNNNNNNNNNNNNNNNNNNNNNNNNNNNNNNNNNNNNNNNNNNNNNNNNNNNNNNNNNNNNNNNNNNNNCCAAGACUUCUUUCAAUGUGAAUUCCACCUUAGCAUUAAUAUACGUUCUUCAACACCCCUUUCAAAUUUGUUGCCGCUUCAAUGUCAGAAAGUAGCUUAUAAGCAAUUGAUUUUCCCUUAUCUUUUGUCUCCCUUGUUUUGUCUUCCAAUGAUGCUGAGGUAUCUUUUACAGGCAAUUCUUGUGAAGUUGCCUCCCGAGCCUUGUCUCCUCGAGUUUGCUUCUUAGAAGAAUUUCCUUCUCUCGUAUCAUCAAAAUUUCCUCGUCUCUUUUCUUCCAUCAAAGCUUUAUGUUGGCUCUUAGCAAUAUAUGCAUGAAUUGAAAGAGACUCAACAGGAUCCUCCCAACCUAUUGCACCUCGUAUUGUAGCUGCAGUCCACAAUAAUGCUUCUCGAGGUAAUUUCCCUUCUUACAUUGUAGAAAUGGAAGAAGCCCAAAACUCACUAGUUUCCGUUCUUCCACCAAGGUCAUCAUCUACUCUAGCACCAUAACUUGCACUUUCUCGUGUUGCUGUUUCAUGCUCUUUUAAGUAAUCUUGAACCAAUGCUCUCAUUCCUCCUUUGCCAAAAUUGGUUUGAAGAAGAUCCUUCCUAUCUUUUAAUGCUAUCUUCCCAUCUUUCCAGCAAAUAAUUCCUUGCCAUAUCAUAUUAUUAAAUUCAUUGCAAUCUUUUCUAGUGUGUGAAGCAUUAUCACACUAAAUGCAUCUUUGUACAUAUCCUUGUUUCGAAACAUUCUUCAAAUUAUUUGUAAAAGUAUUCUCUUCAAGUCUUGCCAAUUUGAUUUGAAGAUCUCGUAUUUCUCGUGUAAUUUCUUCCAUCUCCAUAUCUGCUUUCUUUGAUAAGGAUGUCGAAGGUUGAACUAUAGGCAUUGUUGGUGGUGUUGUACGUACUGGAGCUUUGGGUGCUUGUACUGUUUUUGGAAUAUUUCUCCUAUCCUUCCUCUUUUCUCUUUUUGCAAGCAACCCCACCGCAUCUUCAACAUUCUUCCACUUUAUUGUCAAUCCUUCAUCUUCCUCUUUGUCUUCAAGAAGGAGUUCCAAUUUUUCUUACAAUUCUUGAUCAGCAGCUUGAAGAAAUAGAUCAACUUUGUUCGGCUCCAAUGUCAAUUUUUCUACCUUCGAUAAUUGAGAGUAUUGCCUCUCAAAUUUCCUUAGUAGCUCUGUUGCUUCCAAAUUCUUAUUAGGUCGUUCAAUCCAUUCCAGAAACAGCUUCUUAAUAAUACGAUCAGCAUCUUCCAAGAAAUAUUUGUCUUUCAAUGCAUGUGAAAAAACCUCCCAUGAAUUCCCAUAAUGAUCCGUAAUCGAUGUAAUAUGGUCUCUUAUCUCCGGUAUCAUGGCAAGUCCAAAUAAUUCAACCAUUUUCUUCUCAAAAACCCGAUUUAAUUCCAUUUCAUGAACAUAACAUCUUAAAUACCUUGAAAUAUUCCUUCCAUCAAAUUGAUCAAUUUUAUUGACCAUUGCUUACAAUGCUUUGGUUGCCAAAGCUUCUUUUCGAUCAUUGCUUUGCUGUUGCUACAUUGAUAAUGAGAAGGCUUGAAACAUACUAGCAAUAGACGGAUCCAUGUGCAUACCUUGUCCUUUAAAAGAACCCCUACCAGAAACUCCUUCCAAAGAUCCUUCAAAUUUUUUAUUUUUGUUCUCCGUAAAAAUAAAAAUAAAAUCAAACGAAAUCCAAUACCUUCUAUCUCAAGCUUUUACGUUGAGUUCACCACUUAUGUCAUAUUACGUGCUAUCUUGCUUGAGAACGUACCGGGCGUCUGGCUAUAGGAGGUAGUAUGGUGUUUCGCUAGUAUUCAAGCAGUCUAUCGGUUUUUGACUAUUAGAAUAUAAACAACUACAAGAAUAUACCGUAAAUCUAUACGGAUGCCCUUUGACUACUCACCAAAAUCCUUUUUGCCUUGGGUGGUAGGUCUCUUGACGUUACAAUGAACCUCGAACAACUCAAACUGCUAAUCUUUGAUACCGCUUUAUAUUCACGACCUUGUAUCCAGUAACUGUCUCGUUAGAUUAACUCAAUAAAUUUCAUUCACUCCGCAUACUCAAUCCUAUAGACACCUUUUUAAUUCUUCAUCACAAACGUAACUUGAUUUCACAAAAUAGUCAAGAGUAAUCAUACCCACUUUAUUAAAAUCCCGAUUCAGUAGUACAACACUGACUUGAGCAACGAUUGCCUCAGUCUUUGCAAAAUCCUAUGAAGAAAAAAAACCCAAUUCUCUGUCUUUUUUCUCUGCCCCGAAGCAUGAAGCUCUCUCCUUGAUUCUUCUCAAAAAACCCUAUUCUUUCCAUUCAUUUCUUAACCUAUCGUCCUCUUUAACUCUAAUUCUCCCUUCUUUCAAAUCCUAGCCUCUGAAUUUCUUCAAUCGUCCAUCUUGGAUCUGGAAUUGGCUCCGCCGUCAGAGCUUCUCCUCCAUUUUUAUCUUUAAGAGAUCUUUUUACCGAAAGGACCUUCCCGGAACGGCAGAAAGGAUGGAACAACCUGAAACGGAAUCGAAAUCCUCGUAAUCGGGACUACAUUGAGUCGUCCGACCAAUUCAGGUUUCAUAUUGGCUAAGAUGCCCGUUGUAAGACCUGGAUGUUCCCGUAGUAAAACCGCAUUGGGUUGCCCGAUCAAGUCAGGUCUCAUAUUGGGUAAGAGGACCUGGAUUGGAUGUCUUGAAAUUGGAUCCAAUUGGCUCUUCGAACUAGGCUUACCCGUCGUUGAAUUAGUCCUUUCCCUUUUUGCUGACUCCCAUUAUUGGAAUCGAACGGAGCAUUUCAGUAUGCCCCGGCUGACUGUAAUGGGGUGACUGACCUUGGCCUCUCAGUAUUUGUACUGGAUUUGGUCAUUGCUCACAAUAUUUGAGGUAACUGAAUAUUAAUAAAAGUCCUCUUUCUUUAUAUUUUCAUAGUAUACUCGUGUUACAACAUGACAAUGGGAGUUAAAUGGUACAAAUUGAAAAUACCAAUUGCAGGGAAGCGAGUAAAAAUAUUUAAACGAAGACACACGGAGAUGAAUAUGGAAGACCUUAAUGAAGGUAUAGAGAUUCCGCAGCAAGAAGAUGAAAGUGAUUUGGAUAAUGAAGGUGAUAAAGACGAACUAGACAAAGAUGUAGAGAAUAUAUUAUAAAUCAAAUAGCAAUUGGGUAAAUUGGUGCAUAUCGAAGGAUGCACAGAUUCAGAGGGUGGAUGUCGUGUUGUAACUUGAGUAUACUGCAAAAAUAUAAAGAAAAGAGACUUUUAUUAAUAUUCAGUUAUCUCGAAUAUUGGGAGCAACAACCGAUUCCAGUGCCAAUAUUGAGGGACUAGUUCAGACACCCCAUCAUAGUCGGUCAAGACAUACUUACCAAUAACGAAAUGCUCUGUUCGAGUCCAAUGGUAGGAGUCAACAGAAUUGAAAGGACUAAAUCGAUGACUGAGCAAGCCUGACGUGAAGGACCAAUUUGACCCAAUUACGAAAACAUCUAGGUCUUACUACGGGCCUCUUAGCCAAUAUGAGACCUGAUUUGGUCGAGUGACUCAAUGUGGUUCCGAUUACGAGGGUUUUGAUUCUAUUUCAGGCUGUCCUGUUCUCUGUGACGUUUCAGGGAACAUUGUUUCUGAAAAAAGAACCUUUUAAAAGGCAAAAAAUGGAGGAGAAAGCUCUGACGACGAGAACCAAUUUUGGAUCCAAGACGAAAGAUUGAAGAAAUUUAAAGGCAAGGGUUUGAGUGGGGGAGAAUUAGGGUUUUAAGGGAGAAGAGCUAGCUUCAUGCUUCGGGAGAAAAAAGACAGAGAAUUGGGGUUUUUUCUUUUUUUUUUCCUUCAUAGGGUUUUGGAAAGACUGAGGCAAUCGUUGCUGAAAGUCAGUGUUGUACUGGUGAAUUGAGGUUUUAAUGAAGUGGGUGUGAUUACUCUUGAAGCAUAACUGUUUUAUGAAAUCGAAGUUACGUCUGUGAUUGAAGAAUUAAAAGGAUGUCUAUAGGAUUGAGUAUGCGGAGUGAAUGAAAAUUUUUGGAUUAAUCUAACAAGACAAUCAAUGGAUACAAGGUCGUGAGUAUAAAGCGAUAUCGGAGAUUAGUAGAUUGGGUUGUUCGGGGUUCUCUGUAAUGCCUAGAGACUUACUGGCUAGGGCAAAAAAAAUUUCGGCGAGCAGUCGAAGGACAUCCAUAUAGAUUUACGAUAUAUUCUUGCAGUCAUUUAUAUUCCAAUAAUCAAAAACCGAUAGACUGCUUGAAUAUUAAUAAAUCUCCAUACUACCUUCUAUAGCCAGACGCUCAAUGCGCUCUCGAGUAGGAAAGCAUAUAAUACGACACCGCACUAAUUGACAAGAUAUUCUAAUUUAUUUCAGCGCCGCCUUGAAUUUAACACUUCUUCUUCUUCAAACUCUUUAUUAUUGUCCACUUCUAUAGGAGGAGGUGGAGCUUAUCUUCUUCUUGAUAUAUCUACUAUCUUGUAUGGUUUAAGAAGAGACAUGUGAAAUAUUAGAUGGAUUUUCAUUGACUUCGGUAUAUGUAAACAAUAUGCAAUUAGAUUAAUUUGUGCAGAAAUAGAAAAUGGUCCAAGCUUUCGAUAAUCCAACUUAUCAUAAGAACAAGUGGUCUUGAUAUUGCAACAAAGUAACCAUACCUUAUCACCCAUGUGGAAUGGUGGUUGUUUCUUUUGAUAGACAUCCACAUUGACCUUUUAUUGUUCUUGAGCUUCUUUUAACUAUAUCUUCAUCGUUGCAUGUAGCUCUAACAAAUGAAUUGCCAAAUAUUUUGUAGUAAGAUUAUCAACUUUUGAAAAGUCAAAAGUAUCAAGUCGUGGAUGAUAACCAUAAUUGGAAAAAAAAGGUGUUUGUUUUGUAGAAGAAUAUAUCGUGUUAUUGUAAACAAACUCUGCCAAUGGCAAAAGAGUUGUCUAAUCAUCUUGUUGGUAGUUAAUGGUACAUCUUAUAUACUGCUCCAAAACUUGAUUAACAUGCUCCGUUUGUCCAUCAGUUUGAUCAUGGAAUGCGGAAGAUAGUUUUAUAUCUACUUUUAGAAUCUUAAAAAGAGUCUGCCAAAAACUUGAUACAAAUUGAGUUCUUCUAUUUGAUAUAAUAUCCUUGGAUAAUCUAUAAUAGCAAUAGAUAUUGUCAAGAAAGAGCUUAGCUGUUUCUUCACUUGUUGUAGAUUUUGUAUAUGAUACAAAAUGUGUUAUCUUGAUAAAACGAUCUACUAUUACAAAUAUAGAAUCAUAAGAACCUGAAAUUGGAAGAUCCGUAAUGAAACCUAUAGAAACAGAAGACCAUGGUUGUUUUGAAAUGAGUAAUGGCUGAAGAAGUACAUAAGGUCAAUGACAAGGAGUUUUUGAUUUCAAGCAAACAUCACAAGAUUGUACAAAAUCUUUGAUUGUUUUCCACAUUUGGAGCCACCAAAAGUCCUUGAAUAUUAGUUCUAAAGUUUUAUUGUACUGAAAAUGUCCUGUUGCUGAAAAGUCAUGACGAGCUUGAAGAAAACGUAAUCGAGCUUCACCUUCUGGAACAUAUAGGCAUCCCUCAAAAUAUAAUAGAUUCUUCUUGAAUUCAAACUUGGAAGUAUCAUGAGACUUUGUGGAUUUUCUUUAAUAUCAUAAAUGAGAGGAUCAGAAGACAUACUUGACUAAACUUGCUUAAUGAAAGUUGAAUCAAUAAUUAGUAUUGAUUUUAUUGCUCAAAGAUGAAGAUAUUCUAGCUUCAAGAGAAUUAUUUGUUGUUGUUUGAAAGCAGCAUCUCCUUCUUUUGGUGCAAGAGAAGAUCAUCUAGAGAGUGCAUCCGACAAGCCUUGUUAUUUUCUUCGUUGAUAAGUAAUCUUGAAUUCGAAUCUUGACAAAGAUAUACUCGAACUGGCUUGGCAACAAUUCAAAACACAUGCUGAUAUAAAAUAUUUAAGGUUCUUGUGAUCCGUAUACAUUGUGACUCAGCUAGAAGCACCUUCUAAAUAAUGGUGCCAUUCUUGAAAUGAAUCCAUGAUUGUAAAAAGUUCUUUGUCGUGGAUCUCGUAGUUGAUCUCAGCUAUUAAAUUUUUUUUGGAAUGAAAAACUAUUGGAUGAAGUUUAUCAUAUGUCCCCAUUUCUGACAAUACAACAUCCAAAAUAAAGUCUGAUAUGUCUGUUUCCAUAAAAAAUGGCUUAGAAAAAUCAACACGAUACAAGAUUGGUGCAGAAAAAAAGGUUGUCUUCAAAGCUUCAAAUGCUACUUCCGCUUCUUGAUUCCAUUGAAGUUUGUCUUUACAAGUUAAACGUGAAAGUAGAGCUACAACUUGAGAGAAGACUUUGAUGAAGAUCCAAUAGUACUUGGCAAAUCCCAAAAAGUAUUGGAUAUCUCUUAUCGUUUUUGGGAUCUUCCAAUCCAUAAUAGUUUGAACUUUCUUAGGAUCCAUCAUAAGUCCAUCAUUUGAAAUGAUAUAUCCUAAGAAGUCAACUUGAGUAGUGUGAAAUACUCACUUUUCUAUCUUGGCAUAGAGUCCCCUAUCUCUUAAUUUUUGUAAUAUAUAACGAACAUAAAUUUCAUAUUCUUUUAUGUUCUUAGAAUAGAUCAUGAUGUCUUCUAGGUAACAGACAAUAAAAACAUCUAAAAACUCUCAAAAGACAUCAUUCAUUAGAUGUUGAAAUGCUGCUGGUGCAUUUGUAAGUCCAAAAGGCAUGAUGUUGUAUUCAAAAUAUCCAUACCUUGUUCGUAACAUUGUCUUCCAUUCAUCUCUUUCUUUGAUGCGUACCAGAUUGUAUGCUCCUCGUAGAUUUAUUUUUGUAUAGAUCUUAGUAUUAUUCAACUGAUUAAAGAGUCCAAAUAUUAAAGGUAGGGAGGUACUUGUAUUUUAUAGUGAUUCUGUUGAGUCCUUGAUAAUCGACACACAUCUACAAUGAGUCGUCUUUUUUCUUCACAAAUAAAAUUGAAGCUCCUACUGGAGAUUUGGAAUGGCAUUUAAAGUUCUUGGCCAAAUUCUCUUCAAUAUACUCCUUGAAUUCAGCUAAUUCAUUUUGAGAUAAAUUGUAGAUUGGUCCAAAUGACAGUUGUACUCAUUCUUGAAGGUCAAUUAAGCAAUCAUAGGAACGAUGUUCUAGAAGAGUAUCCGCAUUCUUCUUCUCAAAUACAUUUUAAAAAUCUUGAUAUUGAUUUGGAAUACCACUUGAAGUCUUUCCACUAGUAGAAACAUGUGUGAUAUAAAUGACAUAAGGUGAUCCUUCUUUUGCAGCAUGCAAGAAAGCUCUUGCACCUAUAAAUAUAGAUUUAAUUAUACUGGACUUAUGACUUUCUACUUGAUUAACUACGCUCUUAAUUAUGCUUUCAAAAAAUUCAAGACUAUGAGAAGUUCAAUCUAUUUUAGGAUUAUAUUUUUCUAGCUAUGAUAAACCUAAAAUGACUAGAUUAGAAGGAGAUUUAAUGAUAUUAAAUAUUAUAAAGCUACUAUGACCAUUAGUUACUAUUUCUAUAGGAAAGGUUUUAUGAAUAACAUCUCCUGAAGAUAACAAACGACUAUCUAUGACUUCUACAUGAACAGGUUUAAUUUUCUUCACUAAAAAUAUGCUAUGUCUUUUAACAAAUUCUUCAUCUAAGAAAUAUGCUGAGGCUCUUGAAUCUAGCAAGGCAGAGGUUUUGUGAUGUUUAGGUCCUAGAAUAACAUUUAUCGUAAAACAUGGAGAGGGUUCUGAGUAGAGGAUAGGACCUUCACUAGGUGUUAUACAAGGUUCCAACCGCACGGUUCCUAUUGUAGCUGAACAAAUUUGUUUUUUGACAUGUUAUAUUUUUUGAUCGCCGUACUCCUCAUUUUAUGGUUGCGUUGUUUUUUUGGAUAAUUUUGAGUAGUGUGCUUAGGUUCUCCAUAAUAUAAGCACAAUCCUUUCUAAUGAUGACGAGUCUUUUUUUGCUUAGUAAGAAGUUUGAAAUGUACUACAUUAAUUUGUAUAUCCUCUACUUUCGAAUGUAUGUGUUGAAGAGAUGUUGGUGGUGCCAUUGAAUUAUAGUAAUAUUAAGAUCCACUUAUACGGUUCUCAGAUCGAAAUUAAAAAAGACAAUUGUCGCACUUAACAACAAAGUCAAUUGCUUGAUUCAAUGUUUGAGGAUCAAGUGAGUUGAGUAAUAAUUUUUUUACCUCAUAUUGUAAUCCAUAGAAAAAUUGGCUAAUAAGUGCAGCAUCAUCCCACUUGAUAUCAAUUACAAGUUGUCAAAAUUAUAAAGCAUACAAUGUUACUGAUCGAUUGUCUCGUCGCAAAAUAUGGAUCUUAUUGGUUGUAAUACGAAUUGCAUCAUGUUCUCCAUACAUGGAUCAAGACUCCACCAAAAAAGCCUCUAGUUAAUCCAAUAUUGGAUCUCGUCAUUCAAAAAAAGAUGAAAACCAUGAUAAUUCUGAACCUGAAAGAAGCAUACCAAUGAAUCUAACUUGCGAUUCUGGAGUUGAAUAGCUUUGGGAUUGAAGUUCAAUCACAAGUUAUAUUUGAUUGAUAAAUCGUCUAAACUUUGAUCUGGUGCCAUCAAACUUCUCGAGUAGGGCAAUUCUUAGUUCUCUAACAUUGGAAGGGCAUUCUUCCAUAGGAAAAAGGAUAUGAUUUAAUACAGAUGUUGAAGCAGCUCCAAUCAUUUCUAUAUCUUCACUUCUUGCCAAUCUUAUUGCUCCUUGUGGUGGUAAAUUGAGUUGAUGCAUCGUAAGCAUUAACUUCCUCAAUUGCUCUUGGAUUUAUGCCAUUGCAUUCUUUAUUUCAGCAAGUUCUACCAUAAUAACACUCAAAAAAAAGAAGAUGUAUAACAUCACUCAAGAAAAAUAGAAGAAAGGGCUUGAGAAUAAAGAAAAUACUAAGGAUAAUAUCAAUUUAGAAGAAGGUAAUCCGCAACUUCUAAUAUGCUUAUGUCUUAUCAAGAGAAAGGAGUAAUCCACUCUUAAUCAAGAUUAGACAAAGCUCUAAUAUUGUAAGUGUACUCUUGUCAAUCUGUCAAGGAUAAGAACAUGAUAAAAAUAAAUAAACAAGUGAGACUUCUCUCAAAGAAGAUGACAAAAUAGAAAUAACUUGAUAUGUAUAUUAAGAAAGAAAUCGGAAUAGCUAAUGCCUAAAGCCAAGAAAACUAGAGACCAUUGAAACUAGAUUGGAAGCAAGAAAGGAGUUGAUAAGAGUAAAGAAGGCUUCACUUUUGUCUCUAUAUAUACUAUCUAAUUAGGGGCUACGUGGCAAUAUUCUAUAGGACCUCCAAUAUGUGUUGAAUUUUUAGGACACAUGCCUUGACUUACAAGGCAAGUUUUUCUACGUGUAGGCUACAUAGUUAACUUGGUCUUCAAGCUAACAACAUGUAUGGCACAUGGCCAACUUCUUGACCACCGUUUCGAAUCCAAAAAGUCAAUUAAAGACACCUAUAAAGUCAAAGAAGUAUCUAUAAAGCUUCUAAGAAGCUUCCAUAGCAAAUAUUAUAGAAUUAACUUACUUUUACUUACUUUUACUUACUUCUACUUAUUUAUACAUGUAAUUAUUGGCUUACAUGUGUAUGUCCACAAUACCUAUGUACUACACCUUCUAUUGAUCCUAACCUUUGUUUUAUUGAUACUCUUGAUGAUUGCCCAUUUUCUUUAAAUUUUGAAAAUUUUAUUUAUAAAUCUCUCAUCUUUUGUAUAAUUUCAUUAAUGUCCAUUUCUUUUUUCUUUGAUGUAACCAUUGAAGAUUGAAUCAUAGAUGUAAGAUUGAUAAUGGACAUUUUUACUUGAGAUACUUAUAAUGGUCUUUGAAUAUCCAUCCUAUCUUUUCUCUUUUUUCUUUUUGCAAUCAAUCCUACUGCUUCUUUUGCUUUCUUCUAAUUUGUUGUUAAUCUUUCAUCUUUUUCUUUAUCUUCAAGCAAGAUUUUCAACUUCUAUUGCAACUCUUUGUCAUUUGCUUGAAGAAAAAGUUCUAUUUUACUUGGAUCUAAUAAUUAUUUUUUUCUUUAAUAAAUAAGAAUAUUACUUUUUAAAUUAUCUUAAUAACUCUGUUGCUAGAAGAUCCUUCUUUGGCCUUUUAAUCCAUUCAAAAAAUGACUUAUUUGUAACUUUGUUACUAUCUUCCAAGAAAACUCAUUCUUCAAUGCUUGAAAACAUUUCUCCCAUAAAUCUCCAAAAUGUCCUAUAAGGGACUUUACUUGAUUUCUUAUCUUUAAUUUAGUAGUUAGUUCAAAUAAUUGAACCAUCUCCCUUUUUGAAUCAUGCUUCAAGUCCAUUUUUUUUACCUAGCAUCUUAAAUACUUUGUAACGUUUUUUUUUUUUUUUUUUUUUUUUAAAUUAAUGAAUCUUAUCCAUGAUUGCCUGUAAUGCUUUAUUUGCCAUACUUUCUUUGCAAUCUUUAACUUGUUGUUGUUGCAUUAAUAAGAUAAAAGCCUAAAACAUACUUACGGAGUUAGAAUCAAAAUAUAUACCUUGUUGUCUACUAAUAUCUCUACCUGUAGCUCCAAUUGAAGCAUCAUCCAUGCUCCUCCUUCAACUCUCUUGCCUUCCUUCUCUAUAAUUUAAAUAAUGCAAGAAUACCAAAUACCUUCUACCUCAAGCUUUUCAUGUUGGAUUUACCAAAUAUGUUGGAUUUACCAAAUAUAUUGUAUUACAUGUAGUCUUUCUCAAGAAUGUACUUGGCACCUAGUUGUGGAAGAUAGAAUUAAAAUUGCAACAACAAAAUCCUAAUUCUAAUAGAAUACUAAAUAAACUUUAAUUAAAACUUAACAAUGCUGAACAUGCUUUAAUCAAAUUUAAAAGAAACCUUAAAGAAAUUACAAAUCAAACAAUAAGAAAUCUUAAAGAACUUCAAAAGAAAUCUACAAUAAAACUGAAAAGAAAUCCUAAAAAAUCUAAAAGAAAUAUUAGAAUAAUCACAAAUAUAUCUAAAAUAAAUCUCAAUCAAGUCCUAAUUUAAUCCUAGUUGAAAUCCUAUUAGACUUCAAUCAAACCCUAGGCCAAAUUCUACAUCCUUAGCAAACCCUAAAUCCUAAGUAAACUCUAAAUCAUAAAUCCUAAGCAAAUCCUAAAUCCUAAAUCCUAAACAAUAUCUUCUUUUAAAAUUGGACUGAUUAUCUGUAAAAUACAUGAUUUAUAUAUAUCUUUAUUUUAUUUUUAGAAUAUAUAUAUAUAUUUAGAGUAGAUAUAUUUAUCAUAUAUAUAUAUAUGAUAAAAAAAGAUAUUAUAUAAAUUAUAGAAUAUAUUUAUUUAAUUAUAUGUAUAUAUAUAUAUAUAUAUAUAUAUAUUAAUACAAGAAAGUUAUGUAUAAUAAUAUUCCAUGUAUGUGUAACUUUGUCUUUACACUUCUAAUUUAAUUGAGUUAAAAUAAUUAUAUAAUUACAGAUGUGUAUUAUUAUUAGUUUUUUUAUUUAACCAUUAUCUACUGAAACUUAUCUUGUGAUAAUAUAAGUGCAUGUAAGCUUUAUUAUAUAAUAUCUAAAAAUUUCCAUAAUAAAAAAAUUAGAUUUUACAGUUUGAAGAUAGUAUUCUAAAUAAAUAAACACACAAUUGAUUGCACCACAUUAUAGUCCAUUGUUUUAGUGCUCUCUGUGAACAAAUAAAAAGAAAAUAGAACAAAAAAGAAAAAAAGAACAAGUUCUUAUAGAAAUGGCAUGUAAGUACAUUUUUUCUAUUUCUUUUUCUUUUUUUCUUUUUCUGGUUUUUUAUUUAUUGUUUACUACACUUAUGUUAUCGCCUGUCCAACCUUAAUUUGAUUAAUAGCACCCCAGACUGAGUACAAUAAAUUUCGACAUGUAAUCUGAAAUUAUUGGAAGUUACUAAGCUCUCUGAGACACAACAAAACAACGACUGGACACUCUCACGAUUUCUAACAAUCUACACAAAGACGAGAAAAUUUAGGAACUCAAAUGAACAACCAUAAACACUACAGCACACUUGAACAAUCUAGUAAAAGUUUACACUACAAUUCCACCACUUCCCUCUGUGGUGAGCUGCCUCCAGUGACGGCGGGUCAGUCCGUGGACAAAAAUUCGUUAACUAUGUUGAUUUCCUGACUGGGAUCCACUGUGGGACUUAUCAUCUCCGAGAGUCCGUUUUCUGGUCAAUGAGUUCUCUGCCACAAAAAAGCAGAAAAAAAGGGACAUGACCAGGAUAAUUCUGAAUUGUGGUGAGGAAGGCUCACGAAGGAAUCGGAAAGAUAGGAGGAUGGUCCGGAGGCAUGCUUCCGAACCAUGUCUCCGCAUUCCCUUGCGGUACAUAAUCACUUCAGUUUCCGCUCGACGUUAUCUUAGUGAUAUCCAUUGCACGCAGUGCCUGCCCAUCGGCUCUCGCUCGUGCUCUCCAGUGCGCUCUCCAAGUUUAGGGAGUCCGUAGCAAUGGCGUCUGCAGUGGCAUCGACGGUUGUGGCCCCAGUUGCCUUGGGUGGAGCCUCGUCCUGUGUGGGUGCCCCCUCUGAAUCCUCCUCUGUGAAGGCCUUCUCUGGUCUGAAGUCGGCGACCUUGUUCUCUGGCAAGACCCAGAAGUUGAGCUCCGUCCAGAAUGGCAGCCGCGUGCAAUGCAUGCAGGUAUACCAAUCUCAUCCUGAGCUUGUGUUUAUCUUCGGUCUCCACCUCUGAUUGUAUGCUCAAUCGGGGUUAUAACUGCACAACAGUGCUGUUUCUAAUGUUUGUGGGUGGAAAAGAUGAGGGAUUGUAAUCUAAACUUUCUCUUGAUCGGAAAAUCGGCACAUGUGUAGGUGUGGAACCCGAUCGGGCAGCCCAAGUUCGAGACCUUCUCGUACUUGCCCCCUUUGACCGAUGACCAGAUCGCCAAGCAGGUGGACUACAUGAUCCAGCAGAACCUGAUUCCCUGCAUCGAAUUCGACACUGUAAGUGCAUGCUCUACUUACCCGCCAUGUGCAAGGUCUAUUCUUUACAAUAGAUCAUCGAGCAUGGGCUCUUCCCUAGAUUGACUCUGCCAUGAUAAAAAUUAUCCCCAUGCCCUCAGCACAAACUCGGCAGCUCGUGUUUCGGAGAAGAGUGAGUUAACAACACGGAGAGUCUUGCUAAUGUGUGGCGCAUUGGUGUGUUGGGUCAGGUUGGAUCCGUGAGCCGCACCAACUUCUCCGGCGCGGGUUCCUCGGGUUACUACGAUGGGCGCUACUGGACCAUGUGGAAGCUGCCCAUGUUCGGGUGCACCGACUCUUCGCAGGUGCUGAGGGAGAUCCAGGAGUGCAAGUCGCAGUUCCCCAGCUGCUGGGUCCGCGUCUUGGGCUUCGACAGCAAGAAGCAGGUCCAGAUCUGCGGGUUCUUGGUCUCCAGGCCCAACUAGAUUAAUUGGCCGGUGGCCUAGGUAGCACUUGGUUCUUUUCAGUAGCGACAAGGUAGUCGUGUUUAUGUCUAACUAGUCGCAAUGUUGAGGAGGCUUGUACAGCGACUUGUUUAAUCCAAAGAAUCCCAGGGGCAACAUCUUGACAUCACAUGCUUCUGCAACCACGAAUGCUGUCAGUCAGUCUGUUAGCCACGCGACUUAGGAAGAGUUGGAUGUAUCGUUCAAGCGAUCUGUAGAUUGCGGAAACCCGAGUGGCACCAAAGCCUGGGGCUGCUGCUGUAGCAAAGCAGCGAUGCCCUAUUUCGUCACAACACUCUUCACACAACUCACACGACACAAACUGUGAAGUGAGCUUUGAGUUAUCCCUGCACAGAACACUUGCCAAAAGCAUUGGUACAGCAGCUCUAUGCGUAAACAGUGUGACGAUUUAUUUACGGUGACUGUCAUGACUCGAUCGUAGAGGAUGGUUGUAUACCGCUUCUGGUCAGCACUCCGUAGCAACUCCAUAUCAGCAUCUAGGUCCGUAUGGGGCAGCGCAUGAGAAGCUCAUGAGAAACUGUGUCGCAGCGUGUUCAUUGUCUUCACAAAUCAACAAAUCAGAAGUGCAAGAACUGAAAUUGGAGAAAGUAUCCAGAGAACCCACGUUUAUCCCAUUCGCAGAACUCGUACAGUCCAGUGACAAGACCCCCAACAACAAAUGCCACAAACAACGUCUAUGGUAAACUUCAUAGACCGUGGUCGCUCCAAAGCGGGGACUG